rnacentral:lncRNA from 1 species
UGAUCCUUAGAUUUGUAGGAAAAGUGGAGAAAGCAUCACUCUGGAAUUUCAAAUACAAUAACUACAUAUUCUGUAUCAAUGGCAUCCAAGACAUAAAUUAAAACAUGGCAGAAAUACAUACAUCCUGGCUCAUUUGUUGUGUGUUGUGGUGUGGUUGAAAAGAAAUGAGGUAUCUGAACUCACAACAAAUUUGAUAACUUGGGGUGGGUACAUUUUAGUGAUUCAAUCAAACAGGACAUUCACUGGAAUCUUCCAAGCAUUUGACAUCAUUUUUGUCAGGCUCCCCUGUCUGUUCAUUCUCUGUCGUAUCUUCUUUUGGCUUAACAUCUGGUUCAAUAUCUACACCUACAGGAUACACUUCUGAGGGGCCUAAUGUGCUAAACACUACAACACCUUUCAUUUGUUCUGGUAUCUUCUUCUCCUCUAUAACCUUUUCGCUGUUUCUGUAAAUUGCGUAAAGCAGCAUCUGGAGCAUCCCCAGGACGAAGCCUAUCACAUUUGGAAGCUGUAAACCAACCAAGUAAAAUAAAAUAAUCAUUUCACUUAACUUCAUUAAAUUUUGAUACUACAUUCGGUGCAUCAUCAAAUAUUAACCUAUAGAACAAAACUACUUACAGCUACACAGAGGUCCUUCAUAAAUAGUCCAUAGGCAAACCACAUUACUGCACUCAAUGUUAGGAAAAAUGAUAAGUUGAAAGGCAUGAACUCAACGCUCUUUGUUCGAAUUACUCGUGCCUGGGGACAAUAUAAUACAACAUAUGAUUAGAAAAAUAUUAAUUAAAAACUUGAAGAAAUUAAUAUAUAUAUAUAUAUAUGAUACUGACCACAAUGUUUAAGGGGGCUGCAAACACAGAUACAGAGAUAGCAACGCAAAUCCAACCCAGAACCUGGACACGAAUUGAACCUUUCACCAGGAAGUGUGUGAGAAUAAUGAUGAAUGAGAAGAGCGCAACGUUCAUAGCUACAAAAAGUUUUAUAGCAGACACCUGCAAAUUCAAAAUCAUAAUAAUCUAGUUAAACCAUCGAAUUAAUAGUGAUAUAUUCUCACCAAAAAUAAAUAAAUGAUCAUAUUAAUUAAAAAGUACCCUGCUGUUCUUGGUUGCAUAAGCUAUGUACAUAGCUAUGUAUAUAGUCUCUACAACACACCCAAAGGAGUUGAUGGUGAUGAGAAGGAAGGCACCCUUUUUCAUUAACGCGUAAUAAAGCCAUAGCAUUGAGCUGAACAAUGCCACCUGGUAAGGCAGUGAUUGGAAACUUUCCGUUGAUUUCUUUUUGUAUAUUCUGUAGAAUGUUGGUCUGAAAUUUUUAUGCAGAAAAAAAGGGUCAUUAUUAUUAAUUUCAAACCAUUGAUUUUAGAGUCCAGUAAAAAGGAAGAUGAAAAAGAAUGAUGCUUACAGUGGAGCCAGAUAUACAAGGACUGAGAUGAUGUUACCUGCCACCAAUUGCAAACCAAUUCAUUGGUUAUUUAUUAAAAAAAGAAAAGAAAAGAGAGUACAAUUUGUAUAAUCAUAAAGUACUCGCUGCUCAACUAGAAAACCAAAAUGAAUAAAAAUGCAUUCAUGCAGAUACAAAGGUAUUGUUUCUAAAUAAAUGAAUAAUUUCAUAUGAUUGGGAAGGUGGAUCAUCAUUUAGGUGUCAACACUAAGUACUUGAAAGCGAAAGAACACGCCGUGUAGCUUUUUGUUAAAAAAGUAAAUAUAACUCCACAUAUAUUAUUUAAUUAAUAAAUAUCAAUUUUAGUAAACUGGAGGGUACUUGAAAGAAAGGACAAAACCAACUUGUUGAAAACCAUAAAGAAGGAACAAAAAUAGUACGUGUAUUAUUACUUGUUUAGCUUUAACCAAAUUAUGACCAAACAAAGAAGCCUCCUGAAGAAAUAAAUUAAGUCGAGGAUGGAGAAACUAACAAGGAAAACAAUGAAGAAGCCCUAGCGUAACGUGUAAAUAUAUAUUACUCAAAUAGAGGAGGAAAAAAGGCUUAAAUGAAGCUAGGACCAAAACUAAAGAAAAGAAGAUGGAAUACGGUGACAACAUGAGGAGGAAUUAGCAGCUUCAGUUUUAUUCAUGUCUGAUGAUGAGUAAUGGAAAUGAAGGUAAAAAGCAUUUUGGCAAUAAUUAUUACCUAAGACACCAAAUGCAACUGCCAAGGAAUGGUGAUCUGCCAUUAAUGCCAUUUGUAUUAAGCAAAAGAAAAGAGAGAGAAUGAAUGGAGUUGGGAGUGUGGGGCUGAAAGGGUUAUAAAACCCUAGCUAGCUCUCUUUCUCAGAAACUAUGAUGUGGGUGAGCUGAGGGGAAGGGAAAGGGAGGGGGGGGUUUAUAUAUAGGGAGGAAUGGUGGCGUGGUGAAUCAUUGAUGCAAGCACACAGUGUAUGCGUAUCAAACUCCUCCUACUUGCAUGACAAGUGGAAACAUUAGUAGGUAGCCUCGCAUAAAAUCAUUGAUUUUUUGGCCUUACCAAAUUCCGCUCUUACCCCCACGUGCUUCUUUACUCGCGUGUCCUUCAUUCCAACCUAUUUGGCAUUUCAUUUCGGUGCCACCUCCUUUACGGUUUAGAAUUAACUAUAUAUUUCAAAUAAUAAUAAUAAUUUUGUGUGUGUGUGUUUUUACAGUGAUAUAAUUACGUUUUUAACAAAUGUCAUUAUAUGGUUAACAGUAAAUAUAUAAACAGGGACUUACCUUGGGAUGUCAAUAAUUUCACAUAACACACAACAAUUAUUUACCCCAAAUAAUCAAACUGCAGACACAGUCUCAGGUAAAGACUGUUUUUUCAAAAAAAUAAUUUAGAAAAAGAAAAUCAAAUUUUUGGGAAAAUUUAUCUUGAUAAAUAUUUAUUAAUUUUUUGUCUUUUGUCUGACAGAUUUGGCAUCUCAAUCAAGUUCGUGUGGUCAAAAUUCUCUAGUGAUCCUCGUGUCAUUCCUAACAAUCCUUUGGUUACGGGUUUUUACAAGGAUUAAAUAUUUUUAUAUUUUAUGAAGGGAAUAGAUCUCCCAUUUGCAAAUGAAUUUUUGUUGUUGUUGGUAGUGGGUUGUUGGUGGUAGUGGAUUAGUGGAUGGUUGUUGGUGUCCAUUUUCAACCACAAAUCUUUGCCAAAGUUUUGGACAAUUAUGUCCUUGAACUCUCUUAUAAAUAGAGAGGUUCAUUAGCCAUAUAAAUCAUCCAAAACCAAGAGAGAGCAAAGCUUGUUCUUUGAAAGCUAGGAUUUUAGCUUUCGGGUUUUCUAUAGGGGUUGAGAGUUGUGAGGUUCUCGGGUUGUGUCUUGAGUGUAAAACACUUGUAAUCUUCAUCUUGUUAUAGUGAAAUUUCUUUUCGCCUCUGCCCGUGGACGUAGGCAUUAAAGCCGAACCACGUAAAUCCUUGUGUUCACUUUAUUUUUCGUUUCGGUCAAUUUACUUGUAGUCAUAUCGGAGUUCUCGAAUCGAUCCUUUCCGCAACAAAUUGGUAUCAGAGCGUAGUUGAAGGAGUGAUAAUAUUUUCUGAAUUGCCCUGUGACUGCAGCUUUGUCUGAUCUUUCACAUCAGGAAGAAAAUAUUAUCAUUCAUUCAAAGGUUCCAAAUUAUGGCUACAAGUGUUUCAUCGACUAAGUAUGAUGUCGAGAAAUUUACCGGGAAAAAUAGUUUCAGUUUAUGGCGCAUCAAGAUGCGGGCAGUGCUGGUUCAACAAGGAUUGCUAAAAGCAUUGUCUGGUAAAGAUAAAUUACCAAGCACGCUUUCGGAAGAGCAAAAGGAUGACAUGCUAGAAAGAGCACAUAGUGCUAUUCUGCUAUGUCUAGGAGAUGAAGUGCUACGAGAAGUAGCGGAUGAGAAAACCGCGUCCGGUUUGUGGCUCCGGUUAGAGAGCAAGUACAUGACGAAGUCAUUGACGAACCGGCUCUACCUCAAGCAAAGACUCUAUGCCCUGAAGAUGGAGGAAGGUACACCUGUUUCCCAGCACCUGGAUAAAUUCAAUUCCAUUAUCAUGGAUUUGAAUAAUAUCGAUAACAAAAUCGAUGAUGAGGACCAAGCAAUAAUUGUUUUGUGUUCUUUGCCUCCCUCGUAUGAGAAUUUUGUUGAUACAAUGAUGUACGGUCGUGAUGACCUGACUCUAGAGGAGGUGAAAAAUGCCUUAAGUUCCAGUGAGUUGAGGAAGAAAAUCACUGGUAAGGUGGUCGAAAACAAUGAAGGCGAAGGCUUGGUUGCUCGAGGAAGAUCCAAGGCAAAGGGUGGAAGUUCAAGUAAAAGCCAUCCUAGAUCGCAGUCCAAGAAGAGAAUACAGUGCUACUACUGUAAGAAGUACGGGCACAUGAAGGUAGAUUGUCCGAAAAGGAAGGAGAAAUCAGAAUCACAGGAGCAACAAAAUGAUCGUGCGAAUGUAGCUGAUGCAGAUUCUUCAAGUGAUGCCGAGAUCGUUCUUGCAGUAUCCGACUCUUACGCUGGUGGGAGAUGGAUUCUUGAUACGGGAGCUACAUUUCAUAUAAGUACUUCGAAAGAUGCAUUCUCAACAUACGAGAAGCAUUCUGGUUCAGUACUAAUGGGAAAUGACCACGCAUGUCAGGUCAUGGGGAUUGGCACAGUUCGUAUAAAGAUGUUUGACGGUAUUGUUAGAACUCUAACUGAUGUUCGGCACAUUCCAGAAAUGAAGAAAAAUUUGAUCUCUUUGAGUACGUUGGACAAGAAAGGCUUUCGGUACUCUGCUGAAGGUGGAGUUCUCAAGGUAUUCUCGGGUGCUUUGACUGUGAUACGUGGUAAUUUGGAGCGGGGCCUUUACUUCCUCGAUGGUUCCUCGGUUACAGGUGUUGCGGGAGUGUCAUCAUCAGAUGAUCUAGAUUCUGACACCACGAAGUUAUGGCAUAUGCGGCUCGGGCAUAUGAGCGAGAGAGGCUUAUCGGUGCUAAGCAAACGAGGAUUAUUGUCUGGGCAGUGUACAGGAAAGUUGAAUUUCUGUGAGCACUGCGUCUUCGGUAAGCAGACUCGGGUAAAGUUCAGCACUGGGAUUCACAAGACAAAAGGCACAGUGGAUUACUUCCAUUCUGACCUUUGGGGGCCUUCUCCGACAAUUUCUAAAGGUGGUUACAGAUAUCUGCUUACCUUUAUCGAUGAUUACUCGAGAAAGGUUUGGGUGUAUUUUCUGAAGAGCAAGUAUGAGGUUCUCAUCAACUUCAAGCAAUUUAAAGCUUUGAUCGAAAAUCAAACAGGAAAGAAGAUCAAGCGAUUCCGGACGGAUAAUGGCUUGGAGUUUUGCUCAGGUGAAUUCAAUGAGUUCUGCAAAAAUGAAGGAAUAGUGAGACACCGCACUGUUCGUCGAACACCACAACAAAAUGGAGUUGCAGAACGCAUGAAUAGAACUCUCUUGGAGCGAGCUCGUUGCAUGCGAUCAAAUGCUGGGCUCGGUGAAGAAUUUUGGGCUGAAGCUGUUAAUACUGCUUGUUAUUUGGUUAACAGAUCUCCGUCAACAGCUAUUGAGCUGAAGACUCCUGAGGAAGUAUGGUCUGGUUCUCCUGCUGAUUACUCUGGUUUAAGAGUGUUUGGCUGCCCUGCAUAUGCUCAUGUAAAUGAGGGAAAACUCAAACCGAGGGCGAAGAAAUGCAUAUUUCUUGGAUACGGCCAAGGGGUGAAAGGAUACAGGUUGUGGUGUCCUGAUCCGGUUUCGUCCAAGUUCAUCAUCAGCAGAGAUGUGACUUUUGAUGAGUCAUCCAUGCUUCGAUCCACCACAAAUUCCCGGGAAAAGGAGGAGUCAGAUAGAAUGGGAGAUCACGGUGUUGAGAAGCAGGUGGAGUGUCAGGUGGACGCUCCAAUUCCUACGGAAGGUACUUCAGUCCAGGAUGAUCAAGUUGAGGUGCAAGAUUCCGAUGAAGAUGAGUCACCUCAAGAAAAACCAUAUAGCAUUGCCACUGGAAGAACGAAGAGACAAAUCAAACCAAAUCCGCGUUACGCUAAUCUGGUGUCUUUCGCGCUCAGUGUGGCGGAGUCCAUUGGUAUAGAACCUUCCAGUUAUAAUGAGGCUGUCACGUGUGAUGAGUCGGCACAGUGGGCAAUUGCUAUGAGUGAGGAGAUAGAAUCUCUUCACAAGAACCAUACUUGGGAGUUGGUUAAGCCGCCAAGUAACCAGAAGAUAGUUGGUUGCAAAUGGGUCUUCAAGAAAAAGGAAGGCAUCCUAGGGGUUGAAGCAACUAGAUUCAAGGCACGAUUGGUUGCUAAAGGCUUCACUCAGAAAGAGGGGAUUGACUACAAUGAAGUUUUCUCCCCAGUCGUAAAGCAUUCUUCCAUUCGUGUAUUACUUGCCAUGGUGGCCAAGUCUGAUCUAGAACUUGAGCAGCUUGACGUAAAAACGGCGUUCUUGCAUGGUGAGCUCGAGGAAACAAUCUACAUGCGUCAACCAGAGGGUUUUACAGUUCCUGGUAAAGAAGACCAUGUCUGUCUAUUAAAGAAGUCUUUAUAUGGAUUGAAACAAUCCCCAAGGCAGUGGUACAAGCGGUUUGAUAGCUUCAUGAUUCAGCAUGGUUACACAAGAUGUGACUAUGAUGCUUGUGUCUAUCAUCGGAAGCUCUCAGAUGGUUCGCACAUUUAUUUGUUGCUGUAUGUUGAUGACAUGUUAAUUGCUUCCAAAAACAUGUCGGAAAUCAACAAGUUAAAGUCGCAGUUGAGUGGUGAGUUCGAGAUGAAGGAUCUGGGUGCUGCCAAGAAAAUUUUGGGCAUGGAUAUUCACAGAGAUCGCAAGGCGGGCAAGCUUCGUGUGUCGCAGAAGAACUACAUUGAAAAGGUUCUUCAACGCUUCGGCAUGGAUAAAGCGAAAACUGUGAGUACUCCGUUGGCACCACAUUUCAAACUCUCUGCAGAGUUGUCACCACAAUCUGAUGAAGAAAAGCAGCAAAUGUCUCACAUUCCAUACUCGAGUGCAGUUGGAAGCGUGAUGUAUGCAAUGGUUUGCACUCGUCCAGACAUUUCACAUGCAGUUAGUGUGGUCAGCAGAUACAUGAGUUGUCCUGGCAAGGAACACUGGCAGGCCGUGAAAUGGAUUCUCAGGUACUUGAGAGGUUCUGCAGAUUUAUGCUUGGUAUAUGAUCAGAGUGACUGCACUAGCAGUGUCACGGGCUAUGUGGACUCUGAUUAUGCUGGAGAUCUGGACAAAAGAAGAUCUCUGACGGGUUAUGUUUUCACUUAUUCUGGAGGAGCCAUUAGUUGGAAAGCUGUGUUACAGUCUACCGUAGCCUUAUCUACGACUGAGGCGGAAUAUAUGGCGUUAGCAGAAGCAGUGAAAGAAGCAUUGUGGAUGAAAGGUCUAGUAAGCAGUUUGGGUUUACAACAGGAUUUCACUGUUGUAUUUUGCGAUAGCCAGAGUGCCAUACAUCUGACUAAAAAUCAGAUGUUUCAUGAACGGACCAAACACAUUGAUGUCAGAUAUCAUUUUGUUCGGGAACAUGUUACGCAAGGUGACAUUGUUAUCAGCAAGGUUGCUACCGAGAAGAAUCCUGCAGAUAUGUUAACUAAGGUGAUCCCUGCAUAUAAGUUCAAGCAUUGCUUGGACUUGAUAGGUAUUCGGGAUUGAUUAGCGCCAGAGAGGCGUUUGGAAGAGGUGAUCCAGUUCGAGGAAUUCACUAUGAUGUUCAGCUUGGUAAAUUUCAAGCCAAGGUGGAGAUUUGUUAAGAAAUGGCUUAAAAUUGGUAGUGGAUUGUUGUUGUUGGUAGUGGGUUGUUGGUGGUAGUGGAUUAGUGGAUGGUUGUUGGUGUCCAUUUUCAACCACAAAUCUUUGCCAAAGUUUUGGACAAUUAUGUCCUUGAACUCUCUUAUAAAUAGAGAGGUUCAUUAGCCAUAUAAAUCAUCCCAAACCAAGAGAGAGCAAAGCUUGUUCUUUGAAAGCUAGGAUUUUAGCUUUCGGGUUUUCUAUAGGGGUUGAGAGUUGUGAGGUUCUCGGGUUGUGUCUUGAGUGUAAAACACUUGUAAUCUUCAUCUUGUUAUAGUGAAAUUUCUUUUCGCCUCUGCCCGUGGACGUAGGCAUUAAAGCCGAACCACGUAAAUCCUUGUGUUCACUUUAUUUUUCGUUUCGGUCAAUUUACUUGUAGUCAUAUCGGAGUUCUCGAAUCGAUCCUUUCCGCAACAAUUUUUGUGCAAUGUAAUGUCAUAAAUAAUUUUUUUAUAAGUUGUCAUACAUAAAUUUACAUAUAAUUUUUGUUAGUAAUAUUAAAAUUAUAUAUAUACAAUUACACUAAAUUUAAGUUUAUGUAUUAUUUUAGACAUUAAAUUAAAUUUCAUGAAUAAUUUUACAACUUAUUACAGUAAUUUAUAUGUAUUUUACUUUAACAUAUAGUCAUAAUUAGUGCAUGCGUUGUUUAUUAAAAAAAAGAAAAGAAAAGAAAAAAAAGACGCGCCGAGAACAGGGGUGGCACGAUAUCAGCACGAUAUCAGCACGUUACGGGGAUGAGAGACCGUAGAAAAGCCUAAAUUCAAGUGAAGUAAUGGAAACUCUACCUUAGAAGCCGUUUCUGGUUCUCUUUAAAAAAAUGAUAAAUGGCAUAAUACGCGUCAGCCCUAAUUAUUACCAUCUCUCUCCAAAUGACUUCAGUUUGUUGUUUGUUUGAUUACGUUUGGAUUCUGUGCAUGGCAAAGGUUUCGUAUGGUAUACGAGAAUCUGACAUUCUUUUUUCUGUUUUAAGCUUUCUUCUUUUUUUCGUUUUCCUUUUCUUGUUAUGCCAGAAAGAGGUGAAAAUCAUGAAUUUGGACCAACAAAAUCAUAUAAUUUGCCUACAAACCAGUCCAAAUAUUACUAACGUCUCAUGAGGGAUUCAUGUAUAUAUUCACUUAAAUAGAAAAACUUAUGGAACAUCAAUGUUCUGUAAAACAAUUAUUAGAUUCUUACUAUAAAAACUUUCUUCCUAAAAUGCUUUUGCUCAUUGUAUAACCGAGAUGGAAUAUCAACAAUGAUCAAUGACUAGCACAUGUUAAACCUCCUUUCUUAUGAAGCAACAAAUUGAAUAAUAAAUUAAAGUAUACAAUAUUCUUUUAGAGUAACAUGUAACUCUUAUUAUAUAUCAACAAGCUAGGAUUUUUAUUUUGUUGAGGUUGGAAAUAUUGUUGGAGGGGUUGAAAUUAAGUUAAAAAUUUUUAUGAUAAUUAAAAUGUAGUUUUUGUUAUUGUAAGUUUAAAAUUUUAUAAUUUUUUAAAAUAUUAAAUCACAAAUUUAUCAUUUUGAGAAGUCAAAAUUUAACUUCACCAUGUAUUAAUUUAUAACUUUUUGGAUUUUAAAGAGACUAAAAUAUAAAAUUUUCAUUUUAAGGGGGUCAAGGCCCUUGCUUGACCCCUUUAGUGCUGCCUAGACCUGCUCAUGGGUCGGGCCACUCGCCUAAGCCCAAAGGCUCGCCCAAAAAGUGGGAGGGUUUGGGCAAAAAUAUAAGCCCGAAAAAUGGGCUUGGAUAAAAAAUAAGACUCGUUUUUUUAAAUGGGCCGAGCUUCGGGUAGGGUUUGUUUGGCUUGAGCCCAACCCAGCCCGAAUAAGCUAUUUUGCUAUUGUUUUGCUGUCAUUUCGCUACUAUAUUGCUACUAUUUUGUUAUUAUUGUUUGAAUAUUGUAUAGCUCUAGUAUUUUUGUUAUAUAUGUAUCACAUUAGAGGUUGGGGCGUGGACAUGUGUCGCAUGAGUGUGCUGGCGCAUCGCACCUUAUUGCAUGCAUGUAGCAACAAAGGUCGAUUGAGUGUCACACCAAGCCAAUCAAGAUACUAAGCCAAUCGACGAAAGAUAUCACAACCCAGGCUCGUAAUGUUGUGUAGUAGCUACGUAAAUGAUCUGACAAGGCUAGGUCUCGCACGCAACCGACUCGACUUGUGCCGGUUGCAACCGGUAAUAAAUGGUUGAUGUAAUGACCCAUUUUUAAUAGUGUAAAAAAUAGUGGUUUCGGGACCACAAAUCUGAUGUGAGAGUCUAUAAAUAUUAUUUAUUUAAUAUCUACGAAGUUAUUUAAGUGUUGCAUUAAGAUUUGGCUUGGUAAUUUUGACAUUUGGUUAGUUAAUUAAGGAAUGAGGACUAAAUUGUAAAAGUUAUAAAAGUUAAUCACUGUUGAUUUGCACAUUUUAAAUGUUUAAAUAGCUUAUUAAGGUUAAAAAAAUUUGUUAAAUUAAGUUAAUAUUAAAGAUUAAAAUAUGUAAAGAUGAUAAAAACAUGGAAGAAAGAGAAAAACACUUAACAUCUUCUUCUUCAUUCACGAUAACUCCAUUUUUUCAAGGGGGAGAGUCGACCUUAAGGCUUUAGGCUUCAAGUCCUUGAUUGGUAAGCUUAAUUUAGUCAUUUUCUUGUAACUUUUAUGUUUUUGGAAUCCUGGGAGCUUGAUUUAGCUAACCCAAAGACUAUUUUGUGAAAUUUUUAAAGUUUUUAAAAGUUUUCAUUGAUUUUUUUCUUGAAGAUUUUGUGGCUAAUUGGUUAUUUUUGAAGCUUGGAUGUGUUAAUGGAGUAGUUUGUAAAGUAAAAGUUGUUAGUUUUGAACAUAGGGACUAAAAUGCAAUAAAUUUGAAGUGUAUGAAAAUUCUAAAAUUUUGUGUUCUAAUAGACUGUUGGAAGAUGAAAUUGAGAUCAAUUUCGAAAUUGAAGCUCAAAUGUGAAAGUUAUAGUAUUUUCGGGUUUAGGGACUAAAUUGAGAUAAAUGAAAAACUUAAAGAAUUGUUGUAUAGAUGAAAUUGAACUAUGGCAUGACUUUAGUAUGCUAUUAAAUGACAAUUGAGUUAAAUUAUGCUUUAGACCAAGGAUUACAACAAUCAGAGGACGUACGAGGAAAAGGAAAAAUUAUCGACUAAUUAGCUAAACCACUACGUUUUUGUCAAGUAAGUUCAUACAAUAUAAUUAAAUUGCUAUUUUUGAUGUGUUGUACUUGAUUUUGAAAUGGUGAUUGUUGGUGACUAUGAAUUAUGGUAUAAUGUGAGGUUAAAUCCUGAUGAAAUUAGUAAAAGUCUCAUAUAUGAGGUUACGGGUUAAUGCCCGAAGGUUUCGAGCUUUAACAUGUGGUGUGGACUCGAGAAUACAAGUAUAUUAAGCCCUGACCAGGCUAUUUUUUGUGUAGGUUUAACCUUGACGGGUGACUAGACACUAUUAUUCAUUAUUAGAUUCGUGUAAGUUUAACCCAAACAGGUAACAAUAAACUAUUACUUUUACCUAUGUACCGAGUUCUUUUACAAAGUUUCAUCAAGUAGAAUUAUGAAAUGAAAAAGUGAUGAUAUGCCAUUGGAUGUUGGCAAAAGAAAUAUCAUGAUAUAGAUGGUUAAUACAAAUUGGUUAUGAUGGAUAUGUGAACUAUAAGAUUAUAUGUGUGGUUUGAGCUCAAAAUCUUAUGUGUUUAAUGAUGCUUCAUUGUGUCUUGAUAAGGAUAAUUAUUUCAUAUAAUCAAAUGUGUAUAUGUUAAGUGAUUGAGGUAAGUAAUCGUUUAUAUUUUAUGUGCUUACUAAGUAUUUUAAAUACUUACUCGUGCUUCUACUUUUCUAUAGAUUCUGAACGUUCGAAACGUGUCGAUUGGAUCAACGAGAAGCACCAAUUACUAUCUCUCGAUUCGAUAGACAUUUGAUAUUUUGGACUUGAUUACUUAUGGCAUGUACAUAUGAUGGUUUGAUUUUUUUUAAAUGAAUGUAUAUGUGUUGGUGUGUUUUUGUUUGUAUGUAAAUUGAUGGAGCAUUUUGUCAUGUGAUAUUUGGCUUGAUGUCAAAUUAGUAUUCUUGAAGGUUAAAGGAAAUGGCAAAGUUUGAAUGGUAUUAUGCAUGUGAAUUGAAUUGUGGUAUGAAUUGAUUUAAGGCUUUGGUUUGAAUUAUAAUAGAUUUGAGUUUAUUGCAUUGUUGGGGCCAAUGAGGGCCUAUUGGUUGUAUGUUUAAAUGAUUAUGAGAAUUGAGGUUUUGGCCUUGAAAUGUAUAUGUUUUGGAGUAGGAUUGAAUGGUAUAAAAUGACAUUAUAGGUCACUCAGUAUGGAUGGUAUGUAACUUGCACAAUGGUCGUGUGUUCUAUACGUUCAGGUUGGUUUUGAGUUCACAUAGCCAUAGUUAGUUACACGACCAUGUGAUUCUGGAUCACAUAACAAUAGUUUGUUACACGGUUUGGAGACACGAUUGUGUGAUAUUGCACCACACGGCCUAAGCCUGUCACAUGGUUGCGUGACCCCUAUUUUGCCUUUUUUACCUAUCUUUUUUUUUGUAAAAGUUUCAAAAUGGUCCCGAUUUGGUUUCGAGCUGGUUUAAGGGCUUUCAUAAGCUCGAUUGAGGCUUGAUUUUUUUUGUAAUGCAUGUUUAACAUAGACUUAACUUAUAUAUAUUGAUUUAUUGAAUAUUAUUGAGUACAUUGUAUGUGAAUGUUUUUGUUUACUAUUGUAGCUUCGAUCCGGUGAUUGGACCGGGUAUGGGGUGUUACAGUUGAGCCGCAUCGAGAGGCUAGUACCGGGCUGGCUUUUAAGCAUCAAUGGUGAAGGAGCCGAUAAAGGAGACAAUGAAAACAAUGAUGGUCGAAGACGGUAGACCGACACCCCACACCUGACCCGAUUGUCGAAUCCGCAUGUGUGAUUUCACAUUACGUCGCUGAAACAACUCGAGCUACUAUAACACAAACACAUUCAAUUUAGUUAUCAAUUUAAUUUAUAUGCAUGCAUUUAUACACUCAUUGAUUUCAUUUCAUCAAUUUAUGAGAUUAUAUGGGAUAAUUUCAAAGUUAGGACUCAGAUCCAAACUCAAAUGUCAAAUUUCAAAUUUAUGUCUCGAGACAAGGUCUUUAUGUCUUGGGACAGGUCAUAAAUAAUUUUGGGUUUUUUAGCUUUGAAGUUAACAUUUCUUGAGACACUACAUGUUGUUUCUCGAGGCAAAGUCCUAUAUAUCUUGAGACUAGGUCUCAAGACCAAUCUCUCUCAUUUUCUUAUUUUUGCAUCGAUGUUUGAACGUCUCAAGACAAGGAGUUCUUAGCUCGAGACCUAGAGCAAGGUAAAAUCUAUUUAGUUUUGACGUUCUAUCUCUAGACAUAGACCACUUGACCUAGGAACAAUUAUCUUGAGGUUAUACAAAUAUGUCUUAAGACUUUAUGCACUUAAUUGCAAAAUUUAAAUGAAAUUUGUUCUACCGGCCUUAAGACAUGUUCUUUCUAUCUCGAGACUCAAUGACCAAAUUACCAAAAUUUUGCACUUCUAAGUUUCCAAAACUUUAAUCACUUCAACACAUACUUACCUCAAACUAACGUCAAAACAUAAUCAUCAAAUUAAACCUUCUAAACUUAUUCAAACAUCACCAAAUCAUAACCUUCCAUGCAUUAACACUUAAUCAGCCAAUUCACAAAAUCAAACCAACAUAAACAAGUAUAAUUAACUAAUAGUCGAAAGAAAAAAUCCAACCUUAAAAAUAUUAUGGGUCACUUGCCAAAAGUGCCAAAACUAACUUAGGCAACAAACAUACCAAACUAGGUACAUGUCAUAUGACCUCAAAAUGUAUAAUUACAUACAAAAUAGGAUUGUAGUGGUUUUUGAGCUGAGCUUGAGGGUUGGAUGCUUGUCCGCAAAACUUUAUAGCUUUAAUCUGAAACUUAAACACGGAAACAAACAAAUCCGUACGCUGAGUAAAGUAUACUCAUUGGUGCUAACAGAAUUUGAAAUCACAUAACAAAAUCUAUUAAACAUAAAUAACAAGAUAUCUUAAGUUAACAAAUGAACCAUUUCAUAUUAACAAUAAUGAUAAGUAUAUACCAUUAGAUUAUUUAUCAUUUCAUCUUAUUCACAUCAAUACUUUAUUCAAUUUUUUGAUUUAAUUUUCGAUGCACUUUCAGGGUAUUUGCAUCUAAUUUAACAUAUCAAAAUCAUGUCUCAUAUUGGCAUCAAUAUUUCUUAUCAAUUCAGUAUAUAGGCAAUAUAACAUUUUUACAUUUCAAUCCCUAUUAACCAAACAAAUACAAGAAUAUAUAUAGGGAUCAAUCCAACAUCACACCAAAUACGCACCAAAGUGCUAAUCAGGCAUAAAUGCAUCGAUCUCACCAACCACACCAAAAUACGCUCAUACACCAGGGUAUUUAAGCUGAUGAUACAAUCUCAACCCCCAGGGUAUUUGAGAACUAUCACAAUAUGUACACACAUAGCGCUAAAUCUCUCAACUAUUAAUUCAGACCCUAUGGCAUGUCAACUAUUCUCGCGACUCUAUUCGACAAUGUUAAUAGCACAAAUAUCAUUAUUAUUAAUUUUAUUUUGUUAACAAACAUAUACGCAUGUGUUCAACCAACCAACUGAUCACAAAUCACAUAAUCAAGUAUAUAUGUACCUUUCGAAUAUUUCACAUUGCUACUUUACCAUUUCUGGAUAUUUAACAAUUCAAACAUAUGCAUAUAAUUAUAUAAUGAAUUUGAGUUAUGAGAGCACAAACUAGAUUAGUUAUUCGUUGAUGACUUUGCCUUUCCUUUUGCUUUUCGACUUCUUGACGUCAUUCUUAGCUACAUACAAUAAAUUCAGAUAUAGAAAAUUCAUUAAUCGCACAACUCAAACACAAAUCAACACAUUAUGUGCAUGGAUGCAUUUUAUUCAAUUUAUUCCCUUUAUACUCUAAUAUCCGAAAUACUCGUAUAUCACAACUUACCUGAUCAAAUUUAAAUCCAACCAUAUAAAUAUAGUACAGGGGCCUCCUACUACCAUUACCUAUUUUCAAACUUCAAGGUUUUUAUCCUUUACAAUUUAUUCCUUAAUAAAACAUAAUAACUUUCAAAGUUUUAAGAUAAAAUUAGAUUUACUCUUACCUAACUCAUUAUCUUUCUAACAUAUUUCCUACAUGCAAUAAAAUUAACAACUAGUUUUUCUUAAUUUUAUAACCUUCUCUACAAAGAUAACUUAGAUUAAUUUGCAUAAUACUAAACUAGAAACAACAGGUUAACUAGAACACAUCUUAUACUAAAGAAAUUUAUGAAAUUUAAGAAUAAAUAAGCCCACCUACCUUAUUAAUUUGAUAGCCGAAUGAAGAAGUUGAAGCUUUGUUAAAACCUUCUUUCACAAUCGGUUAUGGAGAAGUAAAGAAAAAGAUGAAUAUGUGUUCUAUCUCUCCCCACUUAGCUCGUAUAUUUAUAUUAACAAUUAGCAGAAUAAUUAACUUAAUUAAUCACUUAAUCGUAUAGUUUAUUAAGUCAUAAGAUUAGUUAGUGGAAAGUGAUGACACCCCUAUUAAUUAAGCAUUAACAUAAAAUUUAGAAUUGUUUAAUUGUUAUUUUGACCUUAUUUUAAUUUCUAUUUAAGGCAUUAGCCAAAUUAAAAAUUAAUUUCUCUACAUUUUAGUCACUAAUUGAUUUAGUCCUAUACAAUUUUUAUUAGCCGAUUUAAUUCAAUAAAACUUAAUUAUUUUCAACCCGUACUUCACUCAUAAUUAUUCUAUUUUUAAUUAUCUACUAACUUAAUUUAAUAAAUUCGGUCCAAAAUCAAAUUUUACUACAUACUUGAAAAUUGGGUCGUUACAAUUUUGGUUCAUGAGUGUUCACAUUUUGGGGUUUUAGGUUUAACUUUGGCGAAAUCUAGGAUUUUUGAAUUUAACUUAAAAGGCCUAAAGAAUGCUUUAGGAAAAAUAUUGUAAUUUUUAUUUUUGUUUUUUAAUUUUCCUAGUAUGGAACCAUGGAAAUUUUUUGGCUAGUUAGAGUCGAUUUAAUUUUUCAAUUUUAUGAUAUGCUGAUAUUAUAUAAGAUUGAAUGUGAUUAAAUCGUUAUAUAUGUUCAUGCAUAUAUGAUGUACGCAUUCCAUAUAAUUUAGGAAAAUAAUGUCAUUUAUACUUGUCAUAGCAUGUUUAAUCAUUCAUGAUUGAAACUUGUUAAAACUUUUUAUCAUUUUUAAAAUAUUGAGUAGGAGAAGGUCCCUAAACAAGACUUAUGAUCUUCAUCGAUGGUUUCUAUGUAAUAGCAUAAUAAUACUUCGAGUCAAUUUUACCCUAACCAUAUAUUACGGUAAGUAUUAUUAUAUGGGUUCACUAGAGAGACUUCUUAUAAUAGCACAACUAGUCAUAUAUGUUACUUAUUGAAAUUAUCCCACAAUGACUCAUAAAAGAGCACAUAUUUAUGAUUGGUUUCCAGUCGCUGGUUAUACACUCAAGAUUAUUCUAAUUAAGUAACUUCCUAUAAAACUCCACUUAAGUUAGAAUAAUGGCCAAAUGUGAAACGACUAUUAAUAUAUAUGAAUGCCUAAGGAAUUAGGUUUUUAUAUUAAUUGGAUGGAAAUUCUUAUUCUUACUAGUUGUUUAAGAAUACCCAACAAUAACUUAUUUCAAUAGGUGUAAGAUAUAUCGUUGCAAUGACUUGCAAUAUUUUCAAGGUUUACUGUAAAAUGCAUGCAUAAUCGUUAAUGAAUAUCAAAUGCUUCAAAACAAGUUUAUCAAAUAUUUGCUUAAUACAAAGACAAUUAAUUAAUGAAAAUUUUAAGUUACAAUUCAAAAGGUGGCAACAACUCCAUUGAUCAAUAUCUUAACUGAUAACAAACUGAAUGGAAACAACUAUAAAGAAUGGAAGAGUAAUCUUCACAUUAUUCUAAGUUGUGAAAAACACAAAGUAGUCUUUGAUACAAAGUGCCCUAGUGUUAACCAGCUCGAGGCUAGAACUCGUUGGAAAGAGUCUAAUGAGAUAACUUGUUGCUAUAUUAUGGCUAGUUUUACCAACACACUUCAAAAGAAAUUGGAAAGCUAUAAGACAGUUGGAGAGAUGAUGUACAAGCUAGAGAAAAUGUUUGUAAGCCAAAUUAUCUUGGCUUGACAAUCCAUGAUUACCAGUUGAUGAAGUCUUAAUGCUCGAUGCUCCGAUAAAAAAUCAUAUGCUUACACUUAUGGGUUAUUUUAUGGAAAUAGUGGACUAUGGGGCAAGGUUGGAUAUAAACACACAAAUUGAGACUGUGUUUAAAAGUUUGUCUAAAGAUUUUGUUAAUUUUAAGGUCGCAUAUAAAUUAGGUAACAAACAACUUACCUCUACAUAGCUCAUGAAGGAAUUACAAUUCUAUGAGUUGAGUUCAAUGAGGGCAAUCUAGCUCGUGAAAAAGCAUAAGCUAACUUAGUACUUGCUUCUUCCUUUAGAAGGAAGAGAAAAUAGGCUUAGGGAAAGAAAACAGGCUAAGACUUCGGGUUCACCCAAAGUAAAAAGAAAUAAUAUUAGGAAGCUUAAAGACUUAUCUAAGUCCAAAUGUUUCUUCUGCAAAAAAAAAAAAGAAAAAAAGAAAAAAAAAGGACACUUCAAGGAAAACUAUAAAGAGUGGAAUGAUUAAUUAGCCUUAAAAGGGAAAUGUAUGGCACCCAUAGUUAUUGAAAAUUAUUUAGUGGAAGAUUAAAGAAACCAUUGGGUCUUUGAUUCUGAAGCCACUAAUUUCUUUAUAUGGGUUCAAGGAAACCAAAACUAUUCAUGAUAAAGAUCUCUCAUUGUGAAUCGACGAUGGGAGCAAUAUGGUGGUGAAAGUAAUGGGAGAAGUACAUCUGUAUUUUAAUAAUUUUAGGAAGAUUGUUUUAAAAGACUUUUUUAAUGCCCUUAGUUUUAGGAGAAAUUUAUUUUUUGUUGCGUAUUUAUUUCAAGACAAAUUUUUUGUGACUUUUAAUAAAGGGUUUGCGUUUCAUAAUAAUCAUAUUCUUAUUUGUAAUGGAUGGUUGCAAACUAUCUAUUUUUUCCAAACCAAUAAUGUACUCACUGCUUGAAGCUGAAUUUGUGAAUAAGAAACUUAAAACUUCUCACUCUAAUGAGACAUACUUAUGGGAUUUAAGACUUAGCCAUAUUAAUUGAGAAAGAAUCACUAAACUUAUGAAAGAUGGAACUUCAAGUUCACUUAGAGAUGUUUCUCUUCCAAAAUGUGAACUUACUUAUAAAGUAAAAUGAGUAAGCAAUCUUUCAAUGCGAAUAGUACAAGGGUUGUUCAACCCUUAUAGAUGAUUGCCCCAGAUAUGAGUAUAUGUACCCAUUAAGAGUGAGACAUUUGAAAUUUUUUAAGAGAUUCAUAUGACAAUAGAGAAAUAAUUAGGUUUACCCAUUAAGACACUUUGGUUAGACCAAAGUAGGGAAUACUUAUCAAACGAGUUCUUAGGGCACCUAAUAAAGAAUUAGAUAUUAUCCCAGUUAACCGCAUCUAGUACUUCAUAACAGAAUGACAUGGUAGAGAGAAGGAACAAAACCUUAUUAGACAUGAUUCAUUCAAUGUUAAGUUAUUCGCAUAUGUAAAUAUCCUUUUGGGGCUACGCAUGAAAAAUGACUUGCUAUAUUCUAAAUAAUGUACCAACUAAGGCAACACCUAAGACUCCAUACAAGAUGUAGCAUGGAAGGAAGCCAAGUCUAAAUCAUUUUAGGAUUUGGGGAUGCCCAACCUACAUACUGGAUAAAGAUGCAAAAAAUUUUAGAUUCACGUAUAGAAUUGGGCAUGUUUGUUGGCUAUCCGUAGGGAAUAGAAAAUGAAUUAUUUAAUAACCUAAAAGGCCAAACAAUUAAGGUAUUGACUCAUGCUACUUUCCUCGAAGAAAACUACAUGAACGAUUUUAAACCUAUAUGUAAAUUGCUACUUAUGGAACUUUGGGAAAUAAUGGAAACCUUAUAGUUAUGAUUCUAGACUCUAUUCUUAAUAGUAGACCAACAAACGAUUAAUAGCAUAAAGGGCAUUAUCAUAGUAGGAAGGUCUCUAAAAGGCUUGAUUUCUUCGUAAGUGGCAGUACUGAUUUUAACAUGCAAGCUGUCGAACUUGAAGAUGAUGACCCACUCAUACAUGAUGAAGUAAUGCAAAGUGUUGAUUCCAAGCUCUAGGAAGUAACUAUGAAAGCUUAAACAAAUUCUAUGAAAUCCAAUUCAGUGUUGGAACUUGUAGACUUACCAAAAGAGAUAAAAACCAAUAGGGUGUAAAUGGAUCUACAAGAGGAAAAAAGUGCAAAAGGAAAGGUUGAAACCUACAAGACCAAACUUGUAGCAAAAGGAUACACAUAGAAAGAAUGUAUCAUAUGAGGGUAACAUACUUAUGACAAGGUCAUUGGAAAAGCAUCUAUGAAUGUUGCUUUCAUCAUGAUAUACAAUAAGGGAGAGUUCAAUCAUGGUACUUUAAUGGAAUGAUUCCAUGAUUAAAUGAUGUUAUAAUUAAUAGAUGAAAAGUCAAAACUUAAUUACAAAUUAUUUGAGCCCUAAUUAAUAUGUUCAAAUGUUCCUUCUGUUAGCUUGACAUAACCCAAAACGGAUCGUAUAUAGAAUCAAUACUUUGGAAUGAAUGAAAACAAUGAUUAAGAGAAAUAGAUCGUGUGUAUCAUUAUCGACAGUGAAUGCGUUUUCUUGCUAAGUGUAAAAGAUGACUUAGAAAUUAAAUUAAUUUCUUUGAAUUAUUAUUUAAUUUAUUGAAAUUUGAAAUGAAAAUUAAAUUAAUUAGUCAUUGUAGUUUUAUUGAACAUGACAAUUAAAUAUAUUUUCUCAUAGAUUUUAAUAUAGUAUAGUUGUCGACUUCAACAAAACUAGAAUUUGGGUUGAGAAAAUGAUGUAAUUAGGUAAAUUAAUUAAUUUAAUUAAUUAAUAUUUUGAAAAAUAGAAAAAGUGAUUAUUGGGUUGGUAAAAUUAUAUGAGUUGGUUAAGAGUCCAGAUAACACAUAUAAUUGUACCUAGUACACGAGAUGGGCCUGAAGCCUAUCCCAUGAUAUGAUGGGCAAUAAACCCUAAUCCAAGUAAAGGUUGUUGCCACCCCGUAGUAUUCUAUAUAAGGAAAUAUUGUAUUUAUAUUAAAAUAUUAUUAUUUAAUUAUCCAUUGUUCAAGUAAAACCCUUAUACCUUUUUCCUAUAAAGAGAGACUAUGGGAUGAGCUAGAAUUACACCAGUUAUUCAUAUUUUGAGCGUCGUUACUCUGUAAAAAAUAAUGGCAAUUAUUUAAAGAAUAAAUUUUAUUUUCCUGAGAGCUCAAAUUUUUGGUUUCCCAUAGAGAGAAUUAAUUUUCCCACUAAAAAGUAAUUAAAUUUAUCAUUUUAUGUAUUCGAUUUGUGUAGUUAGAGCUUACACUCUAAGCAAGUAGAGGUUCGAGGAUAGCAGAGAAGACCAUUUAGUAGAAAGCCAAGAAACGACCUAGACCGUCUUGUUCAAAGUACAAGUAUUAAUUUAGUCGAGGAUUAUUACUAUAAAUAUCACAAGGUUAGAUUUUAAGAAAAAAUUUAAAAUUUUCGUUGUGCAACAAACGCUAUUUUCUUAACCAAUUUUUCUAGCACAAACAACAUCCAAGUACGAAAAUAUCAUUAUGAUUGUUGGCAAAUAUUGCACCAAGUUGAUGAAUCUAAAAUAUGAGUUAAAUAACUUGAGGCAUAUUUGACACUAUCCUUUAAGAUAUUUCAUCGUAUAACGUAUCCCCCAAGAUUCAACAAGCUCUUCCAUUAUAAAACAAGAGCAGGAAUCAAUAAUCGAUCACAACAAAAAUGUAACGACCUGAUAGUCACAGGUGUCGGAAAAUAUAUUUCUGAAAUUUCGUUACUAUAAAUUAGGCUCUUAAAUAUUUAUUAGAAAUAUUUACGAAGUUAGUUAUGUGGUUAAUUAGAUUUUGGUUAGGUGAAUUUGCAUGAAUUAAGAGUAAUUAGGUAAAAGGACUAAAUUGAAUAUAGAGUAAAAGUUGAAUUAUAGAUUAAAGAAAAAUUAAAGGGACUAAAGAAGCAAUUAUGCCAUUGACAUUGAAUGAGGCAGAAUAAGUAAGAUAUUUGUGAAUUUAUUAUAUAUAUUAUAAAAUAAAUUCCUUAAGUAUUAAGUAUAUAUAUUAUAUUAUAUAAUAAUAAAUUAAUGUAUAAUAAAACAAAACAAAUAAAAUGAAAUGAAAAAGAAAUAGAAAAAGAAAACAAAUGUAGAAACGAAGCAGAGAAGGAAAGAAAGAGAAAAGCUAGUGUUUCAAUUGUUCAAAGCUUGAUUGGUUAGUUAAUUUAGUCUCUUUUCUUGUAAUUUUUAUGUUUUUAGAAUCUCGAUAUUAAAUACUACCCGACCCAUGUCAAAAUUUUAGAAAUUCUUGAGUUUUUAAAUGUUGUCUAUGUUGAAUAAUUUGAGUAUUAGGGAUUAAAUUGAUAGAUUUUUAAGUUAGAAAUGAAAAAGGAUUGAAUUGUAGAAUAAAUUAUAAAUUUUGAGUAUUAGGGACUAAAUUGUGAAAAGUUUUAAAUUUAGGAAGUUAAAUUAGAGAGUUAAAUCUAGUUUAAAGUGGAAAUUGAAUGAAAAUAUAGAAUUAAUUGUGAAGAAAUAAAGUUAGUCUCAAUUUAGGGACUAAAUUGGAAAUUAGGCAUAUGUUGAAUAAAAAAUUUGAAAUAUUCAAUGGGAAAUUGAAUUGUAUUGUAUUGAUGAAUUUUAAUUGUUUUAAUUCCGUAGCUAACGUUGUACCGAAACCCUCGACUAAGAAGGGAAAAGAUAAAGUUGACGAUGAAUAGUUUGGAAAUUAUGGUUUGUAUUUCUAUAAUCCGAACUUAGUUAUUAAUUGUUGUAUUUUAAUUAAAUGUUUAUUGUAAGUGAUUUAGGUGAGUAUUUGACAUUUUGAUAUUGAUUUGAAUUUAUAUGUAUUUGCGAUUAUAUGAAAAAUUGAUAUUGGAUAUUGAUUGUUUUUGAAUUGUGAAAUUAAACUCUAUUAACUGUAUCGAGCUGAGUUGGAUAUAGAUAACAUGUCAUAGGAUUGGAAGAGUUCAGAGAUUUCUUCGACUUCGAGUUGAUGAGACACUGGGUGUCAAUUUAUUACUUCGGAUUAAUUCGAUGAGGCACUGGGUGCCAAUUUACUUUGGUUUAGCUGAUGAGAUACUGAGUGUCAAUUUAUUACUUCAAAUUAUCCAAUAAGGUAUUGGGUAUCAAUUUGGUGUGUUCUGGUUGGAUCCGUACAUUCGUCCAAGUCCGAGUCGUGUUAAUAGGGGUAAUUAAAUGAAGUGAUAUUCUGAUUGGUAUUGGAUAAUACCGAAUGUGAAAUGGAAAUGAAAUAUAUGAAUUGUGUAUCAUAUUGUGAAAAGUUAUUUGAGAUAGCAAAUGAUGAGAAUUGAAUAUGUUAUGAAUGAUUUGUUUAUGAAUUGAUUAAUUGAAUGGCUAUUGUUAUUGUAUGAUUAAAUGUGCAUGUUAUAUUAUUUUGUUUUUUUUAAUAUUUGGAUUAUAGAAAAAUCACUGAGUUUAUACUCAGCGUACGGUUUUGUUUUCUGUGUGCAGGUUAGGUACUUAAGUUUGAUUGCUAAUUCAACAUUCAACAACUGUCCCGAACUCAAACAUGGUGAUGUUAUUCCUUUUUGUGUCGGCGUGUACCUAGGGCGUCUAAAUGUUAACUAUUUUAUGGAUUGAUUGUAAAUAAGAUUAUAAGUUAAUAUUGGUUGGUUAUAUAUAUGAGUAUAUGUUUUUUGUUAAAGUUAUGGUAUGGCAUGUUUUAAAUUAGUGCAUAAAUGAACAUGAUAUAGGUAAAUUUGUAUUGACAUAGAUAUGUUAAUAAAUUGGAUUGGAAUGAUGUCUAUUAAUAAGUUUUAACAAUAUGAUUGUAAUAGUUAUGAAGGUACAUAGCUUAGGUAUUUAGAAUUAUUGUUUUGAUAUGUUUUAAUUGUAUUUGAUUGUGUUUUGAAUUGGUUGAACGAAUGGUUUUUGAGUUACUUAGUGUUCAAGAUUGUAGGGAAUGGUAAACUUGAUGUUUAAGGUUUAUUUUGAGUCCACACGGCCAGACACACGGGCGUGUGAUUGGACCGUGUGAGACACACGGCUAACACAUGGGCGUGUGAUUUGGCCGUGUGUCCCCUGCAAUUUUAGAAUUUCAAAACAAAAUGCUCAAGUAUGUUCACGUGGGCAGAGACAUGGGCCUGUGUUUCAGCCGUGUGUGACACACGGCCUAGCAUACAGGCGUGUGACUUGGUCGUGUGACCAUUGCACCUUAAUAUUGCAAGUCAGUAUGCUCACACGGCCUAACAGACGGGCGUAUGGCUUGGCCGUGAGCCCAAGUCAGUAAGCACCUAAGUUUGGACACGGGCUGGGACACUGUCGUGUGCCCCUAUUUCGAAUGCCCACGCAGCCUAAGACACGGGCGUGUCUCUUGACCGUGUGAGCCACAUGGCCUGGUCACAUGGGCAUGUGUCCUCUGCUCUUUUGAAAAUUUUUUAUAUUUUUGGAAAAAUUCUCUAAGUACCUGGUUUUGUCCCAAUUUGUUUCUAACAUAUAUUUUGGGCCUCGAGAGCUCAUAAAAAUGGACAAUAUGAUUAAUUUAUGAUAUGUAUUCUAAAUGAUAUGUAAUGUUCGUAAUUAAUCUGAAAAGUUUGGUAAUACUCCGUAACCCUCUUUCGGCGACGGAUAAGAGUUAGGGGUGUUACAAAAAAAAGACUCAACAAUCUCAAAUGGAUGGAGAGGAAAAACGAAAGGAGAAUGAUAGAGUCUAAAGUGUGCAUAUGAUGAAGGUGAACUAGGGUAUUUAUAGAACUUCAACUAGCUAAAAAUAGCAAAGGUAAGUUGAGUAAAAAGUGGAUUUGGCUUAGUCAAAAAUAGUUUAAAAAGGUUCAGCGAAUCUAUACUUAGCUAAAUAUAGUUGCAAUCAGUUAAACUAUUUUCAGCUUGGCUAAAUAUAGGUGUUAUUAGUUAAGUAUUUUACUUUUUUUGGACUCUCAAACAUUUAAUAAAAAAGAAAUCCAAAAACAAAAGGGCUCAAACAUUGCAACAUAUCACGCAUACAUUACACUCCUUUCGGGCCUAGUUCUCGUGCAUGCACAUCCACCCUCUGAACUUGGUUAUUGCUAUCCAUUGAAGUAUAAUGGCUUAUAAAUAAGGGUCUUAAAGUUUUCCUCAAGGAAUGUGGAGUUUGGUUAUUUUGAAAUAUCUCAAAUUUUUUAACACAAUCUACCCUUCCAUAAUGGAUAAUUGUAGCCCCAAAGUUAGACCUAAAUUAUUACAAAUCACUAUUCUCAAAAAUCUCACAAUACAAAUGAUAUAACUCUCCAAUAAAUGUAGGAAAAAGUGUUUAAAUACACAUGAAUUAGCUCUCAAAUUCUUUACAAAACCCUACAAAAAACACAUUCCAACUGUGCGAUAUAACAUCUGUUGUAACCAUAUUUUAUCCAAAUACAGUUUGGAUAUGCUUAAUUUAAGUUCACGUUCCAUGAUUUUUUAUAUUAUUUAUUUCAAAAUAAUUUUAUCAUUAGAACUAGAUAUUAACACACUUGUUGUUUGGCCGGUUUGAGUUUGAGUCGGGCCUAAGCAUGAUAUUAACACACUUAAUGUUUGGCCAAGCUCAACCCGACCCAAAAUAUGAGCCUAAAAUUUUGUUAAAGCCCAUUCAUAUUUUUAAAUGGCUAACCCAAGCCUAUUUAUAUUAUUUUUAAUAUAUAUUUAUAUUAUUUUUAUUUAAUAUUUAAUAAUUUUAUUUAUUAAAUUGUUUAUGGUCAUCUUAACAUUUUUUAAUGUUUACACUAUAGUGGUAUUAUAUUUUUAGUAUAGAUUUAUUUUUUAUAUGUUAUAAAUUACAUAGUAUAUAAAAAUAACAUAAUAUAAAGCAUUACAAACUUUAGAAAUGGGUUGAGCCAGGCUCGAGCCUUGAAUGUUCAAGCCCAAGCUGGACCUGUAUUUUAAAUGAGCUUUUUUUUACCCGAGCCCAUUUUUCACAUUUAAUAUUUUUGCUCAAACCCUCUUAAAUUUUGGGCGAGCCUAGAGGUGAUCAUGGGCUGGACCUCAAUAGAAUUUUAGGCUCGGGCCCAGCUCUGCCCGAAAAAUAAGCUUAAAAUUUUGCCUAAGCUUAGCCCGGCCUGCUCGUAUUAAAUUUUUAUAUUAUUAUUUUUAUAUAAAAAAUUUAGAAAUAUAAUACACCAAAUACACUAAAAUCAUUAAAAUAAAUGUUUUCCAAGAAAUUGAAAAUAAAUUUAAAAAGUUAUUUAUACUUAAAUAACACUAAGAUAAGUGCAACUUAGCAAGCAAAUAUCUUUAAAAUAGUAGCAAAAUUAACAAUAAAACAAAUAGUUAUAUAAUCAUUUUUAUUUUUGUACAAACCCUUUUUUGAAUUUAUAUUUUUAUUAAACCUUUUACUUUUUAAAUAAACUUUCAAACCAGACCAGAUCAUUUCUGGGCGAGCCUUCAUGGAUGAAGAAAUAAUCCGGCCCUGAACAAGUAUAAUAUGCUCGAAUCAUUCAGCAUGUUGCCUUAUAUGUCACACAUACAUAUAUGCGUUCUCUAAACUCAUCAAUUGUUCCUUUCUAACACGAAACACGCCAAUGCCAUGCAAGUGUUGCAUAAGUACUUGUUCAUGUUUAUUGUUGGCUUGCAGAAUAUGAUCACUUGGCACGUGCCAUGCAAGUAUGUUUGAUGAAUAUACGACAUUCCAUGAAUUGGCACAUGUAGUUUUGUCUUAGGCUUAUGUGUAUAUAGAGAUGUAAUUAUAUGUAUAUACAUGUGAAUAUCUGCAGGGCCUUGUGUAAUUAUAAAUAUGAUUAUAUAGUGAGCAUAAUAUGCUAAUAUAUGCGUGUAAUAUUAUAUGUCGACAAUGGCAGCAGGAAUAAUCGUAAAGCAAUAAGAAAGAAAAAUAAUCACAUGAAAAAUUUUUAUUGGGAAAAAUUACGGGCAAAAGAGGAGAUAUUCACUAAUGUUGAAACGCAACAAUACAAUAGGUUUUCGACUACACACGUUUUUAAGAGUUAAACAUCCCUGUUAUAAUCAAUAUCUAAUAGAAAAAGUGAUGAAAUUCGAGUCGUACAACUCUAACAAUAUAUGUGCGCGCAUGUACGUGGUAGUUUGUUUAGAAAUUUGUAUUAUAUUUUGAUAGUAUUAUGAUAUACGUUUUUCUUUUUAGUUUUGUAUUUGAGUUAAAUUUCAUGUUAUGUUGACGUAUGUCUGUUUACUCAUGUUAUUUCAUGCACAUAUAUAUACAUGCAUGUUCAUUGAAUGUUUUUCAAUCUAUUUUCAAUAAUAACACAACAAUUCUACAGGAGGAAAUUUGGCGAGAUCGUUAUCAAAAUCAUUGGAUCGUUUAUUAUUUUUAAUAAUGAGAUCUCCUACUUAAGGUAGAUCUAACUAGUGAUAACAAGGAAUUCUAAUGAAAAUUGAACUUGUAAAUCCAUAAAAGUUGCGGCUCACAUAGAUAAGAAUUUAAACUCUUUUAAAUUUAGGUUCUUUAAAUAAUCAAUAUUAUUUUUAUACAAAUUAUUGAAAUUAAGAAUUUUAUAGAAAUAACUGGAUUGAAGAAUUUAAUCGAAGGAAUGUCGUAAGCUAUAAUAAUAGGAAAAGUUGUUCAAUAAAAAAUGAUAGAAAGACUUCAAUUAUUAUACAUAGCUAUAAAAAUUCAUGUUUAGUCGUCCCUUUCUACACCUAAUUGCAUGAAAAAUUAUUUGCUUCCUUGGGGAUACUCAGCCUAGAGAGAGGAAAAGCUUUAACUACAUAAUUUGAUCUAAAACUCCAAUUAUUUACAACUCUUUAGGUUUGCAAUAAUCGAAUAAAAUUUUGGAUUUUCAGAAAUAUCAUUUUUUUAGUUAUUUAUAAUUGGAUAAUUAACUAAUUAAUCAUUAAUAAAAAAUUUAAAUUAUUCUACUUUGAUUGAGUUAAUUUUGUGACAUUAUCAUUUUAGAUUAAUAAUGACGUUGUAAUUCGUCCUUUAGAGUGUAUUCUGGGAAUGCUAGGUGGAGAUUAGAGGGAUUGCCAGAUUCGUGGUUGUACGUAAGCCUAUAUAUAGCAACAAGAUUUUCGAUCGCCCUUGGAUUUCUUGGACAGCUAUAAAUAUUGUUCCUUUUAAGGCAUCGUUCUAUUUUGGCACUUAGUGAUAUAUAUAACCCACCAAAUAAAUUAUUCAUUUCCAAUAAUGCUAUUUGCAACCCAGCUUUCUCUCUAACUUUCCAGACUCUUAAUUCAUUCAUACUCACAAAAUCAACAUUUUCUUUAAAUAAUUUCUCCCUUUUUCAUCACAUCAAAUAAUACAUUUAUAAUCUGGGUUUUUGGAGGCGAAAAAUGUUCAUCUAACGUUUUAUUUUAUAAAAAUGUUGAUGUACAUAUAAAAUUUAAAAUUUAACCCAAAAAAAAUUACAAGACAUUCCCAUAUUUUGAGUGCUUGAUCUCAUCUUCAAAUCUUUGCUUCUCCAUUUGAUUUGACUUGGUGCUCACAAUCAUUGACAAUACACAUCAAAACAGAAAGGCACCAUCGUUAUCAAUUGGCUAAUGAUCAUACUCAUAAUUUAUGAACAGAGACGAGCAAGGUCCGGAAAUAAAUUCAUGCAUUUACUGAUUAAAAUUAAUAAUGACAAACGGCUUGACCACCUCUCCCUUCAUCGCUAGGAAAGAUUCAUGGCCUGAAGCAACCACCUAAUUCUAUUUGGAAUGAAAAAGGAAAAUACAAUAAAAUUUUGGGGUUAUAAAUUCUUCAUUUCCCAAAAAACUGGUAAGAGAUAUCAAACAUCGGCUUAUCUCUCACAUUUAUUUUCAUCAUAUCUAAGCUCUUAUAUGAUCCAAAUUCGGUAUAUAUUAUAUAUUACUAAUCUACUCCAUAUAAAUAUAUUAAUUUUGUAUAUAUUUCGAAGAAAUUAUGGGUGAAAGUACAAUAGCAAUCUUUAUAAUAUUUGCGGAAUAUUUUUAUUAAAAAAAUAGAUAAGUUGAUUCUUAAACGUGUUUGGCUGAAAUUACAUUAUAAUUCUUUAUGUCAUAUUUGGUAGUAUAGAUUGUAAUUACUCAAUUAAAUAAUUUAUAUUUUUUAAAAAAAAAAUUAAUUACUAUAUAAAAUUAUUCGUAUGACAAAAAAAUUAAAUGGGUAACAAAAAUUAUAAUCAAAUGUAAUAUGUUAGUCAAAGAAAACAGUCAAUAAUAUGAUUAGUAUUAAAAAUAAUAAGAAAAAUAAACAUAUGUUGGUCCUUGAACAAGAUUUUCAUCAUAUGAAUCUAAAACUAUGCUAUUAAGAUUAUUAAGAUCUCCUUCUUCCAUGUACUCUUCAAAGUAUGGAUCAUCUCAGUUCCAUAUACAAAUGAAGUUGCUAGUACAAUCAGACAUUGUUUUUUUUAAUGUUAUACUAAAGGGAUGUUGUUAAUACAAGAAAGAUUUUUUUAGAACAUCAAAUGUCCUCUCAACCACAUUUUGAAGCUUGAGAUCUCAAAUUAAAGAGUUUGCAAGUCAUUUCUAGUGUUUGUGUCUAACUCCAUUAUCUCAAAUAGUAUCAUACUAAACGAUAUGGUGCAAGAAAACUUUUUGCACUUGCACAUAAUAUUUAGGUUCAAAGUGUAAACAAUCAAUAGCCUUGAUUAUAAAACUUAUAUAAACCUAAUUUGGAGAAAGAAUUAUAUUAGGUUAUAACCUAUUUUAUAAUAAGUAAAUUAGGUAAAAAAAUAAUAUAAAGAUUUUAAUAUAUAACCUUUCUAAAAAUGUUUGGAAAAAAAUUAUAACACUUUUUUUAAUGGUUAAGUAUGUUAUUUUGUAUAAUAUAUAGCCUGGACAUGUAAAUACGUUAUGUCUAUACUUUUUUACCAUAACAUAUUGUAGCACUUUUUUAUGACAUUUUUAUAACAAGUAAAUUAUUUUUUAUAAUAAAUUUUUUGCUCAUAACUUUAGAAAUUGUUUAGGAUUUAAAUAAAAUAAAUUUUAGUUAUAACUUUAUAAAAUGAACAUAAAUUAUUUUUAUGAUAUAAUUUUUUUAAGAUUUAUAAUACAACUUUAGAAAUUUUUGGUCAUAAUCAUCUCAAGCAUUCAUAUGUGUUCAUGCUUAUAAUAUGAUUUUUAGGGGUUAUUAUUUGGCAAUGUCUUUUUUUUAUUCCACAAGCAGUUUUAAAAAAUUGUCAUGCGCCAUCUCAAACACUCAUAUGUGCUCAUACUUAUAAUAUAAAUUAAUAUAAUUACAACGGUUAUCCAAACAUAUAAUUACAAUCAAUUACACUCAAAUUCAAUUACUAGGUGGCUUUCCAAACACUAUCAUGUCAACAAUGAAAUGUUGAGAGCUAAGAUUAAAAAAAAUAGCAUGAGUCAAUUUGAAUAAAUGUGUAAAGAUUGAGAGAAACAUUUGUUAUUAUACCUUGAAUAUAAAAAAAACACCAAAAUAAAUAUUUAACAAUAUAUUAUUUUACACCUUCAUCUGAUGCACAGAAUCAAUUUACUCAAAUUUAUAAAAAUAAAACAAAAUGUAAUACAAGAAGUAGUGGUAUUGCAUGAUUAUUGCAUUGCAUUAUUAAAUGGAGACGGACAUAGGCACUAUAAUUGAAGCUGAGAACUGUGUGAGGGGAUAGUCAUAGAUAUUAUAGUUUGAUCGAAAAAGCGUUGGUCCACGAUGGCCAUAAUUUGUGGUUGCUUUCCCUUCCUAGGCUAGGCUGAAGCCACUUCAGCUCAUCAUUAUUGGCAUGCAGAUAACGACAAAUAUCAUUCAUUAUUGGGGGUGAAAACACUUGAACCACAUCUUGACCUCCAUUUCUUGGAUUCAGGGGCUUAUAUCAUGCAUAUUGCUGCCCCCCUUUUUUUGUCUUCAUUUUCUUUUUUAUCCUUCCCCCUUUAUUUGGAUUUGCUCCCUCUUUGCCUAAUUCAUUUUUUAUAGCUAAUAUCCUUCAAUCAUUCCCAUAAUCAUUGCUACAACAGUACAGAAAGUUACAACAGCCCUACCUUUGUUUCCUAAACUAAACGUGAAAACUGAAUCUUAUUUUAUUGGCAAAGAUAAAACUAAAGGCCUCAAUAAUCAACUAUUAAUGUUUUUCAAAUAUAAAUAUAUAUGUAUUUUUUUAAAAAAUUACAUCUUACAAAUAAUUAUAUCAGAAAUUACUAUCAAAAUGAAUGAUAUCCCACAAUUUAUGCAACUAGCUUGUCCUCCUUUAUCGUAUUCUCUUUUUGGCUGCGGUAUCGUGAGAAAUAGAAACAUUUUAUGCAUCACCAAUUAGUGCUUAUUAAUUAAUUGAAAGGGAAAGCAAAAUAAGAAAAUGAAGGUAAUUUUAAUAAGAUUUCCAAAUAUAAAGCAAAUUUGAACUCUGGACUCCUCCCUUCACAUUAAUAAAAUGCGACAUUGUAUUAAUUCAACCUUGAGAAGCCUUUUUUAUUUCUUGGUGAAAUUAAGGGUGCUUUAUUUUUUUGGAAAAUCAAAAAUAGCAUAAAAUAUAUGUUUUGAUUCAAAAUUUUGAAACUUUUUUUGGAAAAUUGAAAAUAAAAAUAUGUGAAACUUAAAGAAUUUUUUUCUUUUAAAAAACAUGUUUUCGUUGUUUUCAAUAAAAAUAUUUUUUCGAAGUUUCAUUUUAAACAUUAAAUUUACCUUGAUUCGAAUGAAGCAAUUUUUUUAUUUUUAUAAUCUUUAAAUGUAUUUAUUUAAUUGCAUUUUAUUUUACUAUUGUAAUACAUUUUAAUUAAACUAUACUUUAAUUUAAGUAUUUAAUUAUUUUUUCUUUUCUAUUUAAAAAAUACAUACCAAAUCCGUGUUCACUAUUUUCAUUAUUGAAAAGAAAUUUCUAUUUCCAAUUACUAAACAAUUUUCAAAAAAAAAAUAAAAAAUAAAAAUAUUUUCUAGAAAUAAAAAUGAAAAAUAGGAAUGUUGUCUUCAACCAAGCACACCCUAAUUUCUGUACUUUAAAUUUAAUAAAUUUAGUCUUGUAAAUCCAUUUAAAUAAAAAGUGAGAUGUGUACAAAUUCCGCAUCAAAUGUGAUGUCAUAUUAACAAAUAAAAAAUUAUAUAAAAUGUAAAAUGAUCCAGAAAAUUCUUAAAAAUCCAGAAGAUUCUAUAACAAAUCGAAAAGUUUGUUAAAAAUGAUAAAAAAAAUGCAAAAAAGUGAUUAAAUUUUAUAAAUUUCUAAUCAAUUCUAAAGAAUUCUAAAAUUUUCUGAAAAUUAUAAAAAAUUAAAAAAGUUAUUUUCUUCAAUUAUAAAGCUAAAAAAAGUUCUAAAAUUAAAAAUUAACAUUUUAAAAAAUAGUAUUUUUAUACUUUUCAGGUUUUUUUUGUAAUUUUAACUUUUUUAAUUUAAUAGAAUAUAAUAUAAAUUCGGAAAAAAAUUUAUGAAGUUUUAGAAUUUUUGGAAAAAAAAUCCUAAAAAAGAGUAUAAAAAUCCAAAAACUAUUUCUAACAUUAAAAUUUUUUAUAUAUAUCGAAAAUUUUAAAAUUAUAAAAAAAAUCAUACUAAUGAAAAUUUUAAAAUUAUUGAAGACUAAAAAUUAUAAAGUAUUAUUUUAUAAAUUCAAAAAUAUAUUGAAAUUUCAAAUUUUCAUAAAAUUAAAAUUUUAAGUUACUAUUUUUAAUGAUUAAUUUUCCAACACAUUUAUUUUUCAAAAACUGGAAGCAAUUGAUGGAAAACGUUAGAAUAUGAAAAAGGUUUUUUUUUUUUUGAAAAAUUGAUGGCAUCGAUCUUGUAGAGUUGUAGUUUUCUUUUAUAGCUUCUUUUAAAAUAUUGUAUUUAAUUUUUUUUAUUUUAUCAAAAUUUUUAAAUAUAUAAAUUUUUUUUAUAAUUUCACUAUUUUUAUAUAAAAUAUUUGUUAUCAUUUAAGAAAAUUUUCUAAAUUUUUAAGAAUUUUCCAUUUUAUAAUUUCAUAAAAAUUUGUAAUUUGAAAAAAAAAUCCUAAUUUUUUGAGACUUGUUUUGAAACUUUCUAAUAUUUUAGAAUUUUAUCAUUUUUUAAAAUAUAAUUUUUUUACAUUAUAUUAAUUUCAGAAUUGGUUUGAAAGCUUCCUACAUCUAUGAAGCCUUACAAGAGAGCAAUCUGCUAUCAAUCUUUUGUUCAAGACGUGACUUAAGUUCAACUCAUCCUUCAAGUUGCAGCCUCUAUCCAAUACAUAAAGUAUAACACGCUCCCCACUAAAACUUUCCCCAAAAAAACUUAGUUACAAAUCAAACAGUGAGAUAAUUUGUUUAAAAUGAUUUGCACUAAAAUAAGUUCCUUAUAAUAAAUAAAACGAUUGCUCUCAAUCUCAUACAUAAAUAAUAAACAAAUAUUUUUUAAAUAAACGUUAAAAAAAUAAUUGCUCUUAAUCUCGUACAUAAAUAUUAAACAAGUCUUUUUUUUAAAUAAACGUUAAAGUCUUGUAAAAACUCUAAUCAAUGUAAACUUCCUUCUCCUUGAAUUAAUCGAUUAUGCCUUUAGAAAAAAAUAAGAUAUAGAGAUAUUUUAAGAGUAGUCUUCUUAGGAAAAUAAAUCUCUUCAAAUAGGGAAACUCAAUCACAUUGAAAGUUUUCAUAAAAUUUGUUUAAUUUUUUUUUUUACAUUUCAACUUAAUAAAGUGAUACUAAAAAUCCUCAUAAUAUAUGCAGCUAAAGGAUUGUAUAAAACUGUGAUUUCACGUCAUCCCUAUCCAUUUUCAAUAGGAGAAUGACAAAUCAAAUUUUUUUCUCCUGAUUUUCUGCUUUUUACUCCUGCAAAAAUUCAAAUUCAACUAAAAAUGCUAAAAAUCAAGAGGAAAAAUCUAAUUUGUCAUUCUCAUAUUGGAAACGGAUAGGAAUGACGUAGAAUCACAAUUUCAAAUAGUCCCUUCUCAUAUAUGCAUUACAAAGGUCUAAAAUUUUUUUGAUGCGAAUUAAAUAGGACAAGUUACAUGAUGUAACAGAUACAAGCUGAGUUGCAAUUAAAAUUACUUCUGGAUAAUGUAACUCACACUUGCAUUUCUAAGUUUUCUUUUCGCAAUUAUUGAAGAAUUAUUUCUACUACAACGGAGAAAUAAUACAUGUCUAUUGGACUCGUAACUGCAAAAUAAAACAUGCAUACAACAGUGAUAAAACACAAAAAAUAACAUUAUAGAUAAAACACAAAAAACAAUAACAACAAAACAGAAGCUACAUCAAGCAUGUAAUUCUUAAAAACAAAAGCUAUUGCAUUUCUAAAUUAUGGAAUAAAAAAAAACCAUGUAUAUAAUAAGAACAUUGAGACUCUAUUUAUAGUUAUAUAUAAAAUGAAAUAUUAUAAAUUAUAUUCAAGCUGAGUUGAGUCAAAGCUUGAUUUUUUUUGUCACAGGCUAGACCCAUUUUCGAAAUGAGUUUUUUUGUCGAAAUUCAAAGUUCAAACCUCAUAUUUUUGUCAAAUUCUUUUAAAUUUUGAACAAAACCUUAAAUUUAAAUGGGUAACUCCACUCUUAAACAAAUUUGAUUUCAGCCAAAACAUUAAAAAUAAAUUGUUUUUGCUCCAUUCCCUCAAAAAAAACCUAAUAAAUAAGGGAGUGGAUUUUUAAAAUGACACUUAGGGUAUUAGGCUCAUGAAAUAUAUUACUUUUGGUAAUAAUAUUAUUGGAAUGUAAGAUUAUUUAGCAUAUUAAAUCACCCUAUUUGGUUGGAAUAUAAUAUUUAACUAUUUGAUUGACGGGUCUAAGAUUAUCUAAAAUCGCAUUUUACUAGGUUGCCUCUAAUCAUAAGCAAAAAUGAAAAAAAGUUAUUAAAUUAUAUUUAGAUUAAAACUUAAGUAUGGAAAUACUUAAGAGUUAUAUUUUUUUCACCUAAUAAAUAAAUAAUAAUAGAAAAGAAUUUGGCUUAAAAUCAUUAUAAAUUUGUUACAAAUCUCAUUAAUUUUAACAUAAUUGAUACUAUCAUAUUUCAAAUAUAAAAAUAUGAUUCCAAAACAUAAAACCACUCGUUAUAUUAAUUAAGUUUUAGAUAUUAUUAUAAGAAAUAAAAGAAAAGGGUGAGUUCCAUGGUGCUACGUUUCCAGCAAAUGACAAAAUACAUCACAUUGCAUCUCAAAACAUUUACGAACCAACCUCAUUUUACAUCUAUUAAUGGCAUUUCUACUUCAAUCAACCUACUUUUGACAUUAAUUACGCUUUUAAUCCCUAACAUCAUCCCUUUUCUGCCCACACGUAAUUCUAUUAAUGUUUUGGCAACAACCAAUAAUUGCUUUCAAUCGCCUCUUUUUAUUUUAUAAUUUAAUUCUUUUGUUUUUCAGAUUUCAAAAUUCAAGCCCAAUUAUUAAUACUAUUAAUUUUUUUUUGUUGGGUUAAAUAAAAAGAUAUACUCAUUUAAUAGCCAUGUAGCUUAAAAAAACGACGUUGUGAUGAACUUAAAAUUAACAAAAUAAUCUUAACAAUUAAGUUAAGCAAUAAAUUUUCAGAAAUAAAAAUACAUAUAUUUAUAAAAGCUUUCUUAAUUUUCAAUUUUAGUUUCUUUAACAAACCGAUUAAACGAGACGAAUUAGAAUUUGGGAAGUCUUACAAAUCAACAAAGUUAAAUACAACCAUUUUCAACCGAAAAGGAAUCAAGAAUAAUAAUAGUAAAAAAAUCAGUUUUUCAUAUGUUUGGACUUUUUUAAUUAUGGCCCAUGCUUGUGGCCCAAUCCAAUUGAACUUUAAGCCCAAAUUCUUUUCUAAUUAAUUGACAUUUUUUGAUUGGUGACUUCUUUUUAGAUUGACUUGAUGCGUAAUAGUCUAAAGUUUUAGCUUUGAUGUUAGUAUUAUUAUUUAUUUGUGUUAAUUAAUUUCUGUAUAUAUUUUCAGAUUUUUUUUUUAAAUUUUUAUGAUUGAAUUUUAUCAAAUUUUUAUUUUUUAAUUCGUUUUUUUGUUUAACUAGAUUGAUUGAAUUGUAAACUGAUGAUUUAAUUAAUUCAAUUACCCAUUCGAUUUGUAUAGAAUUGCUUAUCAACUUAUACAUAGGAGUAUUCGUUUUUGUUUGUUUGUUUGAAUAUGUAGGAGGUCUUUAUAUUUUUUUUUAAAUUUAAAAUUUAGUCUGUAUACUUUAAUUUUGAGGCAUUGAGUUAUAUAUAUUUUUUAUUUAAAAAUCAUGAUCCAUUCGUUCAAUUUUGCAAUUACAAAAAAGAAAGAACUUUUUUAGCCAUCAAUGUUAAUAUUUUUUGUUAAUUUGAUUUUUACUAUUUAAAAGUACGUAAAAAUUAUAAAUCUCGAUAAAAUCUAAUUUUUUAAAAUUUAUGAUUUUUAACAAAAAUUAAAAUAUAUGAUAAAUAAAAUUCUUUAAAAUUCAAAAAAAAAUGUAUAUUUUGAAAAUCCAUAAACUGAUAAACAGGUCAGAGUUAACGGCAAAACCUCAGUUAAUUUGCUCACCAUCCUCAAUGGAAGCCGACUCCACCAGAUCUUCAAUGGGGACAUCCAUCCAAAAUUUGUAGACUUUCAGACUUAUUAACAGGCCACAAUCCUCUUCCUCUAAAUGCUUUUCACCAUCACUAUUUUCCAGCCCAUUUUCACAAUAAUUAUAUCCGGAUGGACCAAGCAAGACAGACGCCAAAGACAUAAAAAGAGAAAGUUGAUAAGGAAAACUAUACCAUGCAAGUAUGAUUCCACUCGAUUCAGGUUCAUACACCAAACAACGUUUGUGUCCUUCAAUACAUAUACCAACAAGUUUCACAAGAUUGCGGUGGUGCCAUCGGCUUUGCAUCUUUAUUCACGCUCACUUUAUUAAUCAUCUCUAGUAUGCAAUUUAACACCAUCGCAUACGCGUCAAAAUCCUCUUUGAACUCUACUUGUCUGUGCCCUUUUCAAUGUGUUUUUCUUUCUUCUUCUACCUAAUUACUAAAAGCCAACCAUAUAUUGUUGUAGAAAUUAAAUUAUCAAAUAUCUUUUCAAACAUUGCUUUAAAGCAUAAAUCCAAAAUAAAAACCCUCAAAUUUGGUAACCCUCAAAUCAAGACCCUAAAAGAUUAAAAAGACUCCCUUUAAAUGGGGCAUUUGAUUUUUUUAUCCUUUUUUAUGUAUCGUAAUAUUUGAUUCGAGAUAAAAAUAUCCUUACAUUUGGGUUUUUACAUACUAUAUGAUUAUCUAUGUCAAACAUAUUUGUUGAAGGAUUUUGAUUGCUCAAGGAGAACUCUCAUUGAAGGUUGACGGGCCCUCUCAAUAGAUCUAGUAUUAGGCUCAAUGUGUUUAUAUUCGAUUUUAUCCUAAGAUCAAGUGACACCCAACUUACCCACAAAAGUCAUGUAUGGUUCAAAUCCCACCAAGAGCAAAUGUUGAGCUUUCCUUGGUGGGUGAAAGCACUCCCCCUCUCAGAACUCUCAUAGCUCUUGACAGAAUCUGAGACAAAACCUAAAGAUAAAAUUGAACAUAGACAUCUUGGGUUCAAUACUCAACCUAUUGAAAGUGUAACACCUCUUACCCGAGACCGUUUUCGGAGUCGAGCACGAGGCAUUACUUAGCUUAUCUUACUAAUUCAGAGCAUAAAAACUUGGUUUGAAAAUUUAUUUCACUAUUUAUAGCAAAUCUGUCUACCUGCGCAGCAGUCACUUAUUUAAUUAUAACUAGAGUUAAAAAACUCAAAAUUUAGAUCCAUAAAUUUUCCCUGAAACUAGACUCAUAUAUCUUUUCACCAUAAAUUUUUCAGAAUUUUUGGUUUAGCCAAUUAGUACAGUUUAUUAGUUAAAGUCUCCCCUGUUUCAGUGACCGACCAUCCUGACCUCUUGGCACUAAAAUUCAAUUAUCUCUUUGUACAGACUUCAUAUGGUGCUUCCACUUAUUUCUCCUGAAAAUAGACUCAUCAAGGAAUCUAUAAAUAUAAAUUAUAACUCAUAAUUUCUUCUGUGAAAUUUUUAAUGAAUUUCUAAAGUCAGAACAGGGGACCUCAAAACCAUUCUGACCCUGUCUCACUAAAAUUCAAAUAUCUAAAAAUAUACAACUCUUUUUCUUACUCUAUUUCUUUCAUGUGAAAGUAGACUCAUUCAGAUUUAAUUUAGUAUCUCACUCAGCUUCUAAUUCAAUUUCCAACAUUUUUUAUGAUUUUUCAAAGUUACCUCAAUGCAUAUAUCCAAAAACUGUUCCAUUGCAAAUUUUUAAAAAAAAUCAAUAUAACUCCUUUAUAAUUAUCUAACAUUCCCUGCAAAUUUAAAUCACAACCAAUUCCAGUAUUUCAACUACUUCAUUUAAAUACUAAUGAAGUUCAAUCAAUCAACCAUUUCAAACUAAAAACAUGUAUAUAUUUCGAUAUCUAACACAACCAUAACAUUCAAAUUUAUUUUGCAUACUUAGUCAUUCAUACUAAUACUUUUUACUUCAAUCCCCUAUACAUGCCAUAUAAAUCCAAAAAGUUGUUUAACAAAAUCUACCGGAGUAAAUCUGGAUAGUGUGAUCGUUGUUGUAGAUCCGAUCCUUUGAAAUAUAUAUAUACGUCAAUCUACAAGAAACAGUAAACACACCAGUAAGCUUACAGAAAGCUUAGUAAGUUCACAGGCUCAUAAUAAAAUAUUACCAAAAUUUCACUAACAACAUUAACAAACAAAUAAAAAUUCAGCAUUUCCUGUCAACCCCAAUCUCAAAUAAUAAAUAUAUCCAAUCGAGCUCAAUAUCAGAUGUCAACUUCUAUUCCGACAUUUAGUUUCAAUUGCACUUACAAAUACCUGUCAAAUUAAGGAUCGUCUUACGGAAUUGAGUACAUCGUUUGCCCGGUGCCACAAUUUUCUUGAAUAUUUCACAUUGCUAUAACUCAGUAUGAUUUUCUUCACGGAAAUACCAUACCUAUUCACAUUGCUAUAACUCAGUAUGAUUUUCUUCACGGAAAUACCAUACCUACUUUUCACAACUCAGUAUGGUUUUCUUCACUGAAACACCAUACCUACUUUUCAUAACUCAGUAUGGUUUUCUUCGCCGAAACACCAUACCUACUUUUCACAACUCAGUAUGGUUUUCUUCACCGAAACACCAUACCUACUUUUCACACUUUGCCAUGGAUCCACCAUGGACUUAUCUGUCAAUUCGUCGUUGGUUGCCAAACAUGUGUACUCAAUCCUGCGUAUCCCUUAAUUUGAACUAACAAUCUCAUCUUCUCAUUUUUACCAUAAUCAUAAUUCAGUAACAAUAUACGAAUUUAUACAAUAUAUCAUUUCCACAUUAACAAUUAAUCAUAAAAAUUCAGCUAUAUGAACUUACCUGGGCCGAUUUGUAGAAGUUGUAAAAGUUCAGAAACUAGUUCGAUACUUUCUCUUUUCCGCGUUUAUCUUCGGAUUCCCGAUCUAUAAUAUAAAAUUUUCCAUUCAUUAGCAUCUAACUCAAUACUAAUUUACUUCACAAUUUAUGCCUUUCAAUUUUCAAAAUUACACUUUUACCUCCAAAAUUUACAAUUUUUACAAUUUGGUCCCUACUCAAUUAACCCUUCAAUUGAUCAAAAUUUUCUCAAUUAACACCUUAUCCAACAAUUUAUGUUUAAAAUUAUAAGUAUAUUAAGAUCUGUUUUGAAAUCGAAGCUCAAAAUUGAAAAAUAUUGUUAUUUCAAUUUUAGAGAUUAAUUUGAAUAAAAUGAAAAACUUUGGAGGCAACCAAAAAAUGAAAUUGAACUGAUUCAUUCAUAUAAUAGGAUGUUAUAGAAUGUUUGGAAUUGAUGAAUUAAACCAAACCAAAGAUAAUUAGGGAAAGGCAAACUUGCUUAUGGAACUUAUAUUAAAGACUUAUUUGUUUUUUGUUUUUCCAGAUAAGUUCAUAUAGAACUUAUUGUUUUGUUUCAUGUUAUAAUUAAAUUGAAAUGAUUUUGCUGUUAGUUUAAUAUAAAUGUGAAUUUGGUGAUUUUUACAUCAAUUGAAUUAAAUUGCAAAGUAUGAAAACUAUGGUAUUUAUGAAUAGGUAUGUAACACCCUCACUCGACUCGAUCACCAAAUCUAGGUGUAGAGUGCCACAAAUGGGUCUUUUUGAGCUAAAUAUCAAAUUGUAAGUUUGAAAAUUUCAAGACGGACUUUAUUAAAUAAUAACUAAUUCUUUACAACUGAACCAUUAAGAUUUAAAACAAAAGUUUACUAUCCCCACUCAAACUCUACGAGAUCUAUAUAACUAUAAUUUGGUCAUCUCGAGGCGAAGCCUAAAAAGGUAGUCCCUUCCUAUGUGUUUGACACUUUACUGACACUGUUCCUUAACCUAACACAGUCUAGCUUGGUCCCUUUUCGAGUUCUUUGUCUUGCAGAUCUUGCAACCACAGGUCAAAACCUUUGUAAGUUCGAAUGAACUUAGUUUCUUUACUACUUUUAAUGAAAAUAGCCCCCAUAUUGCAAGAGGUUUCAAUUGGAGAAUAAUCAAACACACUACUCCUAUUUUGUUUUGACGAUUCGGCUUGCCAGGGUGUCGGUCUUCAAUAUAACAUCCAUUUGUCUUUAUUGGCAAAGCGAUCGUUGGGUGAUCAUUACUUGAUCGAAUUAUGACCCUUUUUACUUCCUAUGGUGGGUUCUAGAUUAUUUAUAAUUCUUGUGGAUUUCUCACCCUUCUUUUUAAAAUUUUCCUUCUGUAUUCUUUCUCCUCCCAGCUCUUUCCAUGCGUAACCGUUCUGAUUUCAUUUUGGCUUAUGAACAUGCCAUAAUUUCGGCGCAUUGUAACCUCCCCAACCUGGCCUAGACGAUAGACCCAAAUUUAGGAGAUUACAUUAGCCACCGAAGUGGCUCGGCCUUUAUCAAAAUCAAAUUUCCUUUUAAAACUCAUGUUUAUUCAGGCAGUUUACAAUUUAUAUUCUAGUUUAACUUAUUAAAUAUGGCAACAGAUUUUAAACAUAAUAACCUAAAUUUUAAUAACACGAUUUGGUUUGUGUUAUUAAUAAAACAAUUCAGUUUAAUCAUAUAUUAACAAAUAAUAACCUAAUUUUUAUGACCUAUACUGAAUGAGAUGCAUCUAACAAUUAAAUUAAAACUAAACCCCAAACCACAGUUCAUAAUAAAAGAAAACGAAAAAUAACUCAACCUCCUAAGCAACUAAAAAUAAUAACAUUAACAGAAAUAAAGAUGAAACAAAAACUGAGACCCUCCGAGUGUCAUGUCUGCAUCCUAUCCUGAAAGAUUAUCUGAAAAGAUGGAAAUUAAGGGGGAUGAGCUAUGGAAGCUCAAUGUGAUUCCCUUUACAAUAAACCAAAUCAUAUAGUUAUAAUUUUAAACAUUAAAUAGCAUCGUACAUCAUUACCAAGAAUAACAAUUGGUUAUAUAUAUCUGUCAAUUUUUUAAUACGGUAAUUUGGUGUUGCUACUUCAAUCAAGCAAUAAUAAUAUUCUCAAACAUAGAUAAUCAACUAAUUCAAUUUUAGAGUUAUUCAUACUAUUCAUGAAAAAUAUAUGCACAUAAAACAUUUCAAUCUUUUCAUCAAAUAAAUUCAAUCAUGUAAUCAUAAAUUGUCAAAUAUGCCAUACAAUAAUCAAUUUAAAAAUCGGCAUCAUACCCCCAGCCACUAGCACUCCAAAAUCGAGAGUUCCCCCGAACUCCCUCCACCAUCACUCCAAUUUGUGGACUUAAUACCACAUUUGGAUUCUGGUAAGUGCAGAUAAAAGCUGUCGAUAACUAUGGAAACACGACCAUCUCGUAGAUAAGAGUUGUCAGAGGGACUAUAAAAGCAUAGUAAAAAUGUCACAGUUAGGAUUUGUUGUAAUUGUGGGUACACAACGAGACCAUCACAAUUGGAAUCUACUGUAACUAUAAGUACACAGCGAAUGAUUAAAUGUAGUUAUACUACUGAUUAUUCCUUCGAUCAUAUCAACCCAACCCAAUGCAAAUGCACUAUAAAUACAUUCCAAGGCAUUUAAUCAAUAUAUCAUUUACUUUUUAUCUCAUAACCAAUCAAAGACAAUCAUGAAUAAAUUAGGCAUCCAAUUUUGCCAACAAUUUAGGCAUUCAGAUCAUUCAAUCGGGUAUUCCUAAAAUACAUGUAACAUUAUUCACUAUUCAAGCAAUCAAUCAAGAUUAAUUCAGUUAAUAAAUUCAAUCAUCCAUAUAUCUCGUUGUUCUAUUCCUAAUCUAGGACCUAAGUGCAUAAUCUAGUUCUCUAAAUGCCAUUAAAAGUCUAUCAGGGACUAAUUUGAAUAAAAUAAUAAAAGUUAAGAUAAAACUGUAAUUUUUAGGUUUCAAGGGCCACACAGUUGUGUGUGAACCCCCAAGCCAUGUGCGACUCGAAUAGGUGAGGUGUAGGGGCCACACGGCUGUGCGACUGGACCAUGUACAAAGCCCCAAGCCAUGUGUGAUACAAAAAUAUGAGGGAUUAUAGAGGGACAUGGUUGUGUGUGAGGCCGUGUGAUCCACAAAGGCUGGCCAUACGCUCGUGUGGUAGGUCAUGUGCGACUGAGUAAUUUUUGAAUUUUGACUCAAUUUUUCGUAAAAGAACAUACACCUAACUUCCAGGGUCUCAUACGAUGGUCCUUACGUCCAAGUAUGAUCUGGGUUACCUACACGGGUCUUUCAAUUAACAAAAUGCAAGAAUUAAUAGCAAAUUUCAAUAUUUUUUGGGGGCUUUGACAAGAUUGUAAAAGAUCCAUAACAGAUGAAAGAUUUAACGAAAACAAUGAUUUUCCAGAAUUGAUGAGGUCUAGCUAUUGAGAAAUAAGAGAAACUUACCGAUCUUGAUAGAAAUUUAGAAAUUGAUGCAUGAAAUUCAAUGAUUGAUGAUAAACGAUUAUUAUGAUUGACAAGGUACAAUGUACCAAAAUGGAAAUGAGUGUUUAUAAGAUUGGUCUGACAUGUAUAUGUUGUUACAGGGAUUGAAUUUAUAUAAUUCCAGUAAUAAUGCCUGUGUGAACUAGUAAAAUAUUAGGAUACGUAUGGCAUGUCAUUAGUGUCAAAUAUGGAAAUGAUCAGGGAUUUACAUGGUUAUAUGAGAUCCAACAUUUCUAGCAGAUCCUCGGCUUAUAUGUAUUGUUGGUUUAGCUUGGACUAGUAACCUCGAUAUGAUGUCAGCUUAUGUGAGCAAUAUAGUUCUGUGUAUCCAAGUUCAAUUUACUAUAGUUCUCUCAGGUGAAACCUAGCUUAUUCAAAUGUUGAAGAUGUUGAAAUGAGAUUGAAUGAUUUAUGAAUUCAAAUUGAAUAAAGUAUACAAUUUCUUACAUAGUGAUUAUGAAAUGCAAAUGGACUAACCUAUAUGGUUGUAUUUGAUGGUAUGAAAUAGUUACAUUAAAGUAUGCCUAAGGAUGUCAUAUUGAAUGCCAUUGUGUUUAAAUGUUUAGCUUGUUGAAUUGAUAAGGUAAGUUAAGUUAAUUUCAUAUGAACUUACUAAGCAUUCAAUAUGCUUACCUCGUUAUUUUCCCUUCCUUUUAUAGAUUUCACCUUGCGAAACACGUCAAACGAAUUGUUCGAAGCUCACAUUAUCCCAUAUUCGAAACGAUAACUUUUUUAUUAUUUUAAGUUUGAUUUUGUGGCACAUACAUUGGUGUUUUGUAUAUGUUAAAUUUGAAUGUUGAGCAUAGCUUUAAAAUUACCAAAUGCUUGAUUUUGGAAGUGUUAAUGUUUAGAUGAAAUGGUAUGUUUUGGUAAAUAGUUUGAGUUAUGUAUGUAGCAAUUGAAAUGACAUAAAUGGAUGUAAUUUAGUAUGUUUCAAGUAGUUUAAGAUAGGUAAAUGUUUAGCUUUUUUUAAAUGGUUUGGUUUGAAUGCCAUGGUAUUGAAUUGAUAUAUAUAAUGGUUGAAUAUGUGAUAUAAGUUGGUAUAAGGUUGAAUGUGAAUAUUUGUAUUUAUUUUGGUGUAAGUUGAAUGUGUUUUGGUGUAGGUAAACUUAACCAUUUGUGCACAAAAUGUGAAGUUUGUGUGGUAGCCAUGAAAUGGGUACUAAAUGGCCUAAAUUUUACCAAGAAUAGAGUCUACGUCUCGACGAGCAUUCUUCCUUAUCACAACAUCGACCUAUAACAGCCAUAAUUUGGGGCUAGAUGGAAUAGUGGUUUUGGGACCACAAAUUUGACGGGAAAAAAAUUUAUUUUCAUUAUAUUAUUAUGGUCUACGAUAUCACAAAAUGAUUUCGUGAAAAUUUCGUUUGAAAAUUUUAACGUUUGGGCACUCAAUUUAGUUAAAAGGACUAAAUUGUAAAAAGUGAAAAAGUUGAGUUCUAUAUGUGAGAGGUGUCCAAUUGUUAUGAAAUUUUAAAUUGGAGGUCUUUAUAUGGUAAUUAGACCAUUGGUUAAGUUGGUGGACAAAAAUGGGUAUGGUUAGGCAUGUUUCCAAAGUUUUUCAUUAAGAGCAUUUUGGUCAUUUAUUAUUAAAAUGAAUUAAGAACAAAAUUAAAAGCCAAUUUUUAUCCAUCUUCAACCCCUAGGCCAAAAAUUUCAUGGAGAAACCAUGUCUAGGGUUUUUCAAGCUUCCAAUCUCGAUUGUAAGUCCAUUCUAUCCCCGUUUUAAUGAUUUUUACGUUUUUGAAAUCUUCGUAACAAGAUUUACCUAUUUUUACCAUUAUUUUGAACUAGGGUUUGUGUUUAAAAAUUUACCCAUGAAUGAUAUGCAUAUAUUUUGAUGUUUUAUGGAAGAAUAUGAAUGUUUGGAAUGUGAUAAAUGAUUUUUACUAAGUAAUUUUCGAUGAAAAUGUCUAAAAGGAUUAAUUUGUAAAAGUUAUAAAAUAUGUCACAAGUGUGUGAAUAAGUGAGUAUUGUGAACUGCUAUAGUUAUGAAAAUGGUUCAGCUAGGCCUAAAAUGUAAGGAAAUUGAAUAAAAAUUAUUUUAUGAGCCUAGGGGCAAAAUCGUAAUUUUGUGAAACUUUAGCGGAAAAAACAUAAUUUUUCCAAAGUAUAAUUUUUGGACUGGAAUGAAUAGUGUGAAGGUUAUAUAAGUUAAAUGUAUUUUUAUAAAUCAAGAAAGACGAGAAAUUGAAAUUGAUUAAUAAAAAGAAAAGUGAAAAAUUCCCGAAUGAACAUUUGGAAUAAAAAGGGAUACGAAUGAAGUGACAGGAAUGAUCACAUGUGUUGCACGGAUUAUGUGUAGGCCACUAUGUAAAAGUGAAAGUGAUGGUCACGUGUGUAGUACUAUGUGCAAGCUACAACGUGUACCAGAAUGAUAGGUCGCAUGUGUAGUACUAUGUGCAGGCUACUAUGCGUACCUGAUGGUUUCAAUCACGUGUGUAGUACUAUGUGUAGGCUACUAUGUGAACUGAACAUCAUUGAUUAGUAAGGUGGUUGCUAUGUGUUGAUUCCACCAGACAUCAUUGAUUAAUAAGGUGGUGCUAUGUGCUGAAUCCACCGAGUAUUUGUUAUUAUUCCGAAGUGUUCAUCGGGUAAUUGACUAAGUGUAAUUGAAUAAUGAAUAUAGGUGUGGAAUUGAAUUGAAUAUCGACUUAGAAAUGGAAAAUUGAAUUUUGAAUUGAAUUCUGAUUGAAAGUGAAAAAGUGAAAUUAUGAAAGAGUACAUUUAGCAAUAAAACAGUUUAGACAGCAACAGUUGUGUGACUUUGAAAAAUCACCAAAAAUGGUGGAGAUUGAAUUAGAGGCUGAAUUAUAUAUGAAAUUGAAGCUGAAUGAGUCUAUUUUCACAUAAAAGAAACGGAUCAAGCAAAAGAGUUAUAUAUUUUGAGAUAUUUAAAGUUUAGUUAGACAGAGUCAGAAUAAGUUCGGAAUCCCCUGUUCUGACUUUGGAAAAAUGUAAAAAAUUGUAAAAAAAAAUUAUGGGAUAAAGUUUAUAUUUUUAGAAUCUUCAGUGAAUCUAUUUUCAAGAAAAAAAUGGAAACAAUACCCAAAUUCUGUACAAUGAGAUAAUUAGUGAAGAGAGGUUAGAACUGUCGAGCAGUGAAACAGGAGAAACUUUAAAGAAUAAACUGUACUAUUUGGAUAAACCAAAAAUUCUGAAAAUUUUAUGGUAAGAAGAUAUAUGAAUCUAGAUUCAGGGAAAUUUUACAGAUCUUAAUUUGGAGUUCUGUACCUCCAGGUAAAAAUAAUUUAGUGACUGUGACUCGAAUAGACAGCUUUGAAUGUACAUGUGAGUGAAUAGUGAAAUUGUAGUUAAUGUUGUUUAAGUGUGUUAUACACAUUAAGGAUGUGGAAUGGAGAGGAGGAGGAGAAAAUUUGGAAGAACAUAUGAAUGAUUUGUGUAUAAUUGGUCAUAUGCUCGAUUAUAAUCGAUAAACGAUUGAAAAGAAAUGAUGUUUAUAAUUAUGCAUUAUUAGUUAUAGUUAAAGUUCAUAUGAGAAAAUAAAGUUUCAUAGUAUGUGUAUGUGGUAUACUUGGCAUAUGAUUUGGUAUGUAGCAAUGUCAGAAAUGGUUUAUGAAUUAACUCAUGUUGAUAAGUUUGAUACAUAAAUAAAUGUGGUGCUUAUCUAUGCUUAUAAUGCUUAUACUAUAUGUUUAUUUGGCUAGCAUGUUUGGUGUGUAUGCUUAGGCUUUGGCUAAGUUGUGGCUGGAUUACGCCACAUUAAAUUUAUAAAAUUAUGCAUUGAGAUGGUAAAUGUCUAGAUGGAAAUAUGCUUGUGAUCAUAAAAGGGUGGUAAGGUUUAAAGUUUGUAAUCUUUAUUAAAAUGGUUUAUCAUGUGGUUAGUCUUCAAAAAGACUAGCUUGCGACUAUGGUUGAGUGUAAUGUUUAUAUCUUGUGUGAUAUGCAUAGGAAAUGGGAGUGGAAAGGAAAUGAAAUACUAGGUUCAUGCUUGAAGUGUAAAAUGAUACAAAAAGGGGACGUUAAGUUAAACGAUAAAUAUGUAUUAAUAUUGAACUUAAUGAAAUUGAAUUGUACGUGAAUUAAAUGGAAAUUGCAAAUGAUAUUAUGUGAAUUAAUUGAAUUAUUGUGGUAUUGAAAUGUAUAUUGGAUUGAGAAAUUGAAUUGAAUCAUGAACAUAAGAAUCGUGAAUUAAAUGAAAUGGAAAUGAAGUAUUGAAAUGCAUGAGUAUGUAUUGGGUCUCAGAAGCCCUAUUUGUUACAAAUAUAGUAUUUUGAAGUUAUAACGUGAAGAUUUAUAAAAGCAUGUUAAAAAUUUGAAGAGUUUAAAUUUGAAUGAAAUUUUAUAACUCGGUUUAACAUGUUUAUAAGUGUAUGUGUUCUAGUAAUGCCUCAUACCUUAUUCCGGCGUCGAAUACGGGUAAGGGGUGUUACAAUGUGACAUCGCCAGAUUCGGUCAUAACGUUUAGACCGGAUUUGGGUGUUACACAACCAAUAGUGAGUCGCGUCGCGAUGUCGAGUGGUCUGAGGUCACGACGUGACAAAAUGUUUGGUGAUGUCACAACGUGGAGGAAGGGACGUCACAGCAUCGACCUUGAGAUUUUGAAACUUCGCAAUUUGAUCCUAUUUCAUGUUCAAGGUAAUGAAAGAGCUUUCGUAAGCUUGAUUAAGGCUCAGAUUUAAUUGUGUAUCAUAAUAUAAAUGUGUUUAUGAUAUGAUUGAAUGCUUGAAUGAUUUAUUUACAGUAAAUUUGACGGUAGUUGCUUUGGCAACAGAUGAGGCAUCCUGUAACUCGAACCCAGCGAUCGGUUCGGGCGAGGGGUGUUACAACCCCGGCCAUUCUGGUCCAAUUCAAACAACUAUGACUCUAAGUCUCUACACUUUGUACAUUUGAAAUUUAGUCCUCAUACUUUUAUUUUUAAGAAUUUAAUUCCUCUAUUUUUUAUUUAAAAACUCACUUUCAAUUUAUAUAUAACGACGUAAUAUUUUAAUUGAAAAGUUAACUAUAUUAAUUAUUUGAACUAAUAACUAACAUUAUAAAAAUAUAAAGACCGAAUUAUGUUAAUAGUUGACGUAUAAUGAUUAAAUCUCAAUUUUAAACAUAUUAGUAGGACCAAAACUGAAAAUUAACCAUUAUUGUCGAAACCAUUUUUUGAAAACAAAAAUUAGUUGUCGACUUAAAAAAUGAAAAUUAGAGUUGCCACCAAUAUUUUAUUGAAGUGUGAUUGGAUCGCCUAAAAACGAUUUUGGUCUACGAGUUUUAGAAAAAUGGGUUCGGGAGUCAGUUACGUACGAGGAAGGAUUAGCACCCUCGUAACGCCCAAAAUUGGUACCAAAUUAAUUAUUUAAUGUCUUAAGGUCGAAUCAUUAAAAAUUCAAAAAGAAAUUUAAAAAUAUGAUCUUUUAAAAACACCCAAAAAUUUAAGGAGUGGUAUAUUUCAUAUUAAUCAAGAAAAAAAAAUUAUAUCCCGUGAGUUAGGACACAAUUCCUUUAAUCUUGACACGAGAAUAAACACCAAAAAUUUAUUUAUUUUUAGAAAUUUUGAUUAUCUCUGUUUUAGAAAAGGAAUCAUAUCCCGUAAGUUGGAACACGUUCCUUUUCUGAUUACAAAGACGUGUUUUUUAAAAAACAUGUUUUUUUCAAAAAAAGGGUCGUAUAUCUGGAAUUAUCAAAAAAAAAUCGACACCCCGUAAGUUAGGAUACGGUCUUUCCGAAUUUUAAAAUACGAAGUAUUUUAUUUUUUUGAAAAAUAUGCAUUUGGAUCGGAAUUGAUACGAUACUUGAAAUGUCACACGAAAAAAAUAUUAAAUCGACCAAUGGCUGUAAUACGAAUGUAUUUAAUAAAUAGUUCAUAGCAUGUACAACAACAAUGAUUACAUAAAAACAUCAUUCUAAUUCUAAUGUUAUCCAAAAAGAAUAAAAAUGAGUAAUAACAAUGAAUAGCAACAACAAUAACCAUAGCAAUAAAUUUUAAAUUUGAAUACUUUAAGAAGGGCAAAUAAAUUAAUCAUGGAAUCAACUAUCAUGGCAAAAACAUCAAUGGGAAAUGACAAAUAAAUCAGCCAAUAUACAAAAUGAAAGAAAAAAAAACUAACAUAAGGUAGAUUUAAAAUUGAAAGUAGUAAAUAAAUAAAUAAAAUAUUAAAUGAAAUAUUAAAUAAAAUAGUAAAAAAUGAUGAAAAUGAUAAUGAUAAUAACAAUAAUAUUGAUAUAAUUAAUACAUAAAUAAAGCAUACAUAUGACAAUAUUUAAAGAUUAUAAAGGAAAUAAAAAUAAGUUAGUAAAAGAAAUAUUAAGAUUUAUAAAAAAAUCAUAAUAGGAAAAAAAAUAUUAACUGAAAAAUAAGGACAAUAAACAAAUUAAUAGGUAAAUAAUAAAGUAAAAUUAGUCAAAGGACCACAUUGAAAUCAGAAUAAAAUUUGAAGCAAAAUUUGUAGUAAAUUUAAAGAUAAAAUCAAAAUAGAAUUAAUAUGUAACGCGCGCGAAGAAACGAGGGCCAAAGGGGCAAUAAACCCUUUUCCCGAACACGCGUCACUUCCCCAGGGGAUUAGCACGUCGGGGAUUAACUGAAAAUCUAGAAAAACAUGAGGUCCAAUUUAAAAAAUAAAGGAAAAAUGUGAAAAGGGCUAAAUUGAAACAGAUCGAAAAUGGGGAAGGGCCUAAAACGUAAAUACCCACUAGUAGGAAACAAGCGGAUCCUACCAAGGUCGGGUCAUCGCGCGGGUCAGAAGGGAGUAAAGGCCAAAACGGUGUCGUUUUGCCCUCUGAACUUAAAACUCAAAACGGCGUCAUUUUGAUAUGGGUAUUUAAGCCCAAAAUUUUUUAAAAUUUUCAUUUCAGCCUUUGUUUUUAAAAACCCUCAAAAAUUUCAUUCAAAUUCUCUCCCUCUCUCUAAGAUCCGGCCAUGGCUGCGGCACCAGACCACCAUGGUGGCCGCCGGUCGCCGAUGACGGUGUCGUCGUACACGAUGGCCAGAAAAAUCAAAAACCUAUUUUUUUUGUUUUUUCGACUCCCGGACUCCAAAAACACCGAUUCUCAUCGGAAUCGGCACCUCCUCCUCACAAAGGUAUGAUUUUUAUUUUUUAUUUUCAGUUUUUGUUUUUAAAAGAAAAAAAAGAAAAAAGGAAAAAAUAAUAAUAAAUAAGCCGAAAAAAUAAAAUAACCACCUUUGAGAAUACUCGAUAUUUGAACUGAUUUCUUUCCAAUCUUUUUUGAUUCAUUCGUGUGUAAAAAAAUUACAUAAACUCGGGGCCCUUUUUAUAGCUCGAAAUUUCCCUAUUUUUUCUACUUUUACACUAUGUUUGUGUUGGUAUUGGACUCUCCUAGUUCAUUUUGCAGGCGAACGUGGCGGCACACGCAGAGAGAACGGCGCGUGCAGGGGCUGCCGUUUGGGGGCGACGGCUGCUGUUUUUUCUACUUGGGGUUUCUUUGCUGUUAGGUUUAGGUUAUUUUGGGCUAAGAUUUGCUAUGGUAUUAGGCUGUUUUGGGUAUUAGGCUAAUGGGAUAAUUUUGGCCUAGUAUUGGGUUUUAUUUAUUUUGGUUUGGUUUUAUUUCUUUUUUUGUUUAUGCGGGCCCGGGCCAAAAUUUGGGUUCUACAGCUGCCCCUCUUUACUCAUUGUCAUGCAACGGGAAUGAAGCAAAGACUUUAAUAGGGACAAAUUUACCCGGUCUUGUUUAGUAUUGACUUCUUCUAGUGAGUAACUUCACUCCGACCCACUGUGUCUUCAAGGGUAUAGGAGUUGUCAUUUCGAUCCACUCCACUGCAACAUCAAGGAGAUAGGAUUGGUGGUUUAAAUCUGCUUCCCUACUACAUUUGAAAGAUAAGAUUUGCCGUCUUUGAUCUGCUCCACUACUGCUUAGGGAAACAAAAUUUUCUCCAUUUGGCUUUAAUCUAUUUCACUGUAACGCCAUAGAAAUGAGAUUCGCUGCCCUUAGCUUUAAUCUACUACGACGCCAUGGUAAUGAGAUUCGAUGCCCUCAGCUUCAAUCUAUUCCAUUGCAACGCCAAGGAAAUGAGAUUGGUGUCUUUGAUCUGCUUCGCUGUCAGUACAGUAAGGCAAAAUCUGCUAUCUUCAGUCUGCUCCGCUGUAAACCCAGGGAGGCAAGACUGGUGUCGUCGAUCUAUUUCGCUGCCAAUACAGGAAGAUAAAAUCUGCUAUCUUCAAUCUACUUUACUGCCAAUACAGAAAGACAAGAUCUGCUAAUUUCGAUCUACUUUGCUGCCAAUACAAAAAGACAAGAUCUGCUAAAUUCAAUCUACUUCGCUGCCGAUACAGGAAGACAAGAUCUGCUAUCUUCAAUCUACUUCGCUGCCAAUGCCGGAAGACAAUGUCGAAACAAUUUUUUAGAUUUAAAAAAAUGGGGAUUGACUUUAAAAAAAGAAAAUGAGAGUCGCCAUCGAUCUUUUAUUGAGGUGUAAUCGGCUCACCUUGAAAAUUAUUUUGGUCUGCGAAAUUUGAAAAAAUAGGUUCGCAAGUCGGUUACGCACAAGGAAGGGUUAGCACCCUCGUAACACCCCAAAUUGGUACCGAAUUGAUUAAUUAAGGUCUUAAUUUCGAAUAUCAAAAAUUCGUGAAGAAUUUUUUUAAAAAAAAACAUGAUCCUCUAUUUUAUUAAUGUUAAUUUUAUAAAAGAUGCUUGGAUAAAUCGAUGCGGAUGCUAAAGACCUUCUCGUCUCAAAGUAAUAAAAUGUCACACCCAAUUCAUUAGGACACGACAUUUUUAGUCCUCGAGAGUAAGCUUGUCUUUUGAUUUUCAAAACUCUUGUGGUGAAGUUAAAAAGGGAUAUUCAAUUGCUUUAAGUCAGAUGAAAAAUUGAAACCCAAUACGUUAGGGCACAACUUCUCAAAAUUCCUAGCAUUGAAUAUAGCCCUUGUUAUUUUUUAAAAUCUUUAUAUCGAGAAAACGACUUUUCACAUCCAAUACAUUAGGACACGACAUAUCGAAUUCCCGAAAAUAGGUUUUUGGUUUAUGUGUUUUGAUUGAAUAAAAUUUUCGAUUAUUUAGAUUCAACGAGGAAAAUUGGAACCCAAUACGUUAGGGCUCCAUUCUCUCGAGGAUUCCAAAUUUCGAGUAUUGCGUUAUUUGAAAGCUUUUGAAUAAAACGAUUUUGAUAUUUAAAUAAAAUGUAAUCCGAUUGAAUGGUAGUAAAUUAUUCAAAAUGAUAAUUCGUAAAUUACGAUACAUGCUAGUGAACGAUAAAUCAUCAAAUAAUGUAAAAAAGCAACGGAUAAAUUCAAACAAGAAUAGCAACAAUAAUCUCGAUCAUACAACAUUCAAAAAUUAAACGAGUUAUUAAUCAAUUUUUUUGAUACACUAAAAGCAAUAACAAGAGAAAAAAUCAUAAUUGAAUAAAUUAUACGUACAAAAGUUUUAAAAUAAUAUAUAUAUGUAUAUUUAAAUAUGAAAUAGACUCAAAAUAGAGUUUAAAAUAAACACUAGAUAGAAUGAUAGUAUUUAGAUGAAUUUUGCAAUAAAUAUUAUGCAAGAAGAACAUUUAAAAUAUAUGCAAUAAUAUACAUGUGUUAAUUUAAAAUAAGUAAUACAUAAUUCGAUUAAAUAAUAAUACACAAUAAAUUUUAAAACAAAUGUAUAGUAAAUCCAAGGUGGUAAUAUAAUUUUAUUUAUAACAUAAAAUAAUACUACAUAAAAAAACGUAAUGAAACUAAUUAUUAAUACAUGAUGGUAAUUCAAAACUUAAAGUAAUAAUAUAAAUAACAAAACAAUAAUAUCUGUACAUAGGUAAACAAACGUAUAAACUAAUAUAAAUAAUAAUAUUAAUAGUUAUAGUAACAUUAAUAAUAAUAACCAUAAUAAUAAAAAUAGUUAAGAAAUUAAAAAUGUAAAGGGGACUAAAUCGAAAAUCAAAACCAAAUUUAAGGGAAAGACAACACAAUUAGGAAUAUAAUCAAAUAUAAUAAUAAUAACAAUAAAAAAUAGUGAUAAAAAAUGACAAUAGCAAUAAUAAAAUUAAAGAAAGAAACAUUAAAAAUGAUAAUAAGGAAAAAAGAAAUAACUAAUUUUAAGAAUAAAAAUAAUAGAAAGACCGAUUUGAAAUCUGUUUGAAAUUAAAAGGACUAAUGCGGAAAUUAAGCCCACAAAUCCAGGCAAUCAAGUCAAGUAAUUGAAAACGGUGCCGUUUCGAGCUUAUGUUUCCUCAACUGAUAGAUGGAUUAAAUUGAAAGUAAUGUAAAGUUAUCUAACGGAAUUAAAAAAUGAAAAGGACCGAAUUAAAACAAUUAGAAAAAGUAGGAGAACCAGGUGUCGUUUUUGAGUCAUUGAAAACUGGCUUAAAAUGACGUCGUUGCCAAGGCUAUAUAAGGGUUACUUUAAACCCUAGGUCGGAGUCCUAUUUGCCAUUCGAAAUCAUGCCGCAACCCUCCUUCUCUCCUCCGUCAUUCAAACCUUCUUCCAUUUCGAUUACGACGAAAGGAAGAGGUAUUCCGACGGUGUUCACUACGGUGAGUUCUCCUUUACCUUUUUUCUUUUCGUUUUAUGCGUAGGAAAAGGGAAAAAAACAUGAAUUGAAGAAAAUCAAAGAAAGAAAGAAAAAAAAAGAUCGCCGAAGGAAUCACUUUCGUUGUUUUUGUAUUUUUAUUUAUAAAAUCUCCGUCCAAAGAAAUACAGGUCUUGAAUUUUGGCUUAUAUAGCCGGAAAUACAGAAGAAAAAAAUAAAUAGAAAAAUACAAAGUCCUCAUUUAUGUUAUUUUGUUUUUUCUUCUUUUGCUAUUUCUUUGUCUCUGUGCUGCAGGUACGGCCGUACGGAGGAGCGUGGUGUGAAGGCGCGCGUGCGAGGGAAGGCCCUGGUGACUGCGACGCUGGAGGCUGAAUGUUGCUAGGGUUUGCUGUAGUUGUUGAGGCACAUAGUAAUUGGGCCACCAUUUUGGGCUGCGUUGGUUUGCUGGGCUCAGAAUCGGGUUAGGUUUACUGGGUUGGGGAUAUUGGGCUAGGCUAGUGGGUUAAAAACAAUUUGGACCUAUGUAUUUGGACUUUAAACAUUAAAUUUUAUUUUAAUUUAGUUUUAAUAAGCCCGGGUAAAAUUGGUUAUUACAGACAAUAUCUGUUAUCUUUGAUCUACUUCGCUGCCAAUACAGGAAGACAAAAUCUGUUAUCUUUGAUCUACUUCGCUGCCAAUACAGGAAAACAAGAUCUGCUAUCUUCGAUCUACUUUACUGCCAAUACAGGAAUAUAAGAUCUGCUAUUUUCAACCUAAUCCACUGCUGCUCAGGGAGAUAAGUCUGGUGGCUUAAAUCUGCUUCCCUACUACCUUGGGAAUAUAAGAUUCGCCAUCUUCGAUCUGCUCCAUUACUGCUUAAGGAGACAGAAUCUACAAUCCUUAGCCUACUCCACUAUUACUCGGGGAGAUAGGACUGGUGGCUUAAAUCAGUUUCCCUACUUCCUUGGGAAGAUAAGAUUCGCCGUCCACUACAACUUCAGUGGUAUAGGGUUUAUGGUUUCACCGAUCUGUUUUGAGGAACAUAACCUAUAUAAUCCAUUUUAUGACCUUAAUCAUGCCUAAUGAUUAAGAUGCCAUGAUCAAAAUGAAUCAAAUGCUCCUAACUGGACAUGUAUGAAAGAUGUUUGCAUGAAUGCAGAAUGUCAUUUUUUAUAAUGAUAUUUCUUUAUCGCUUAGGUUGUCAUUGCUCGGAGCUUAUUAAGGUCUUAUCCCUGACGUGCUGUAACGCCUUCUUACUUGGACGGCAUCUAAAAAAACACUUAAUCAGAUUGCCCCACUAUAAACUUCAAAGUUCAACCCAUUGGGACACAAAAUUUGUACCAUCUUUCUCCCACAGUAACCCAAGGGUAGAAAAAACCUGGUUUUUCCUCAAUCCUCUCCUAUCGCAAUUCAAGGAUAUAGAAUGUGGAACUCUUUGGUCCUUUACACCAUUUCUAGGGUGUCAUACCAAAUGCUUAUACACAAAUGAAAGAUUCUCUUCUCCAAGGAAACCCCUUCUUAUUACUUGGUGAUUGAAGCUUUAUCACCAACAUGACAUCUUGUCAUUUUGUUCAAUCAAUACUUUUGACAACAAAAUCCAAAGAGAUAGUCUUAAUUUAGACUUUUCCUUCUCCAAUAUUUCAACCUUUAAACUUGGUGUAUUCUAAAUAAUAGUCUCAUUUCAGGUUACUGUACUAUUUAGAAACUUCCGGAGUAAUAUGUAAAACUUCCCUUGUGAAAGUUUUAUUAGUCCAUUAAUUAUUAUUCUAAUGCAACAUGCUUGCAAAAGAUUAUAACACUGGAUAAGAAUAAGAUAACUCAAAAUGAAUAAAUUAUCGAGAAUGAUGUAUAUAUAAUAAAAAAUAAAAAUAAAAAAUGAAUUGAUUGAAAACAAGUAUCUUAAAAAGAAUAAAGUAUUCCAAGUAUAGCAAAGAAUAAGGUAUUCCAGGGACAACAAGUUCAAUAUAAAUAGUACGAAGACUAGGUGCCCUAGAUAUCGCAGCUUGAGCUUCUCUGAAAGUUUACUCUGUCGAUGCCCUAAACGUCGCAUACCCAUUUCCUGUUAAUUUAGGCAUAGCAAGAUCACCCCAUGCCCCAAUCAAAAUUUUGAGUUACUCUGAUCACUUCAUGUCCCAUCUUGAUCAAAAUUUGAGCCGCCCUUUUCGAGUUUUCAACUCAAAUCCCCUUUGGUCUCAAGGCGCCCUUUGAGGGUUUUCACCUUGGCCUCUCCUUUUUUUUUUAAGGACUCAAGGCGCACUUUGCGGGUUUUCACCUUGAUCCAUUCUCCUUUUAAGUAAAGUACCUAUUGACUGCAUCUGAGUUUACAGGGUUUGGUAAGUUUUUACCAUCCAUCUCACUCAAGAUUAAAGCUCUUCCGAAAAAGGCCUUCUUUACAACAUAUGGACCUUCCCAAUUUGGCAUCCAUUUCCCUCUAAAAUCCUUUUGUAUAGGAAGGAUCUUUUUCAAUACUAUGUCCCCCUUGUGGAAUUCUCUUGGACGAACCUUUUUGUUGUAGGCCUGCAUCAUUCGCCUUUGAUACAUCUGACCGUGUUGAAUAGAUUUUAGUUUUUUUCCCUCUAUUAAGUUCAACUGAUCGUACAGAGACUGGACCCAUUCUGCUUCAUCCAACUUUAGCUCAGCCAACACCCGGAGAGAAGGGAUUUCGACUUCAAUAGGUAACAUUGCCUCCAUACCAUAAGCCAAGGAGAAAGGCGUUGCCCCGGUGGAAGUUCUGAUCGAUGUUCGAUAAGAAAGAAGGGCGAAUGGUAAUUUCUUAUGCCAGUCCUUGUAAUUCUCAACCAUUUUCCCCACAAUUUUCUUGACAUUCUUAUUGGCAGCUUCCACUGCACAAUUUAUUUUUGGGCGAUACGGUGACGAAUUAUGGUGUCUGAUCUUAAAUUGACUGCAGACCUCUGCUAUUGAGCUGUUGUUCAAACUCAACGCAUUGUCAAAUAUGAUUCUCUCGGGCAUUUCAUAUCGACAUAUGAUCUACUUUUUCUAGAACUUGCUGACUGCUGAUUUUGUGACAUUAGCAUACGAAGCGGCUUCCACCCACUUGGUAAAGUAAUCAAUAACCACAAAGAUGAAACGAUGCCCAUUAGAACCCUUCGACGAUAUUAGGCGAAUAACAUCCAUACCGCACAUGGAAAAAGACUACGGAGAAGUCAUAACAUGAAGAGGCGAAUGAGGCGUAUGCAUUUUAUCACCAUAAAUUUGGCAUUUAUGGCAGUUCUUAGCAUAAUUGAUGCAAUCUCCUUCUAUAGUGAACUAGUAGUACCCGAAUCUCAUAAUCUGUCUAGCCAUUGUGAAACCACUGGCAUGUGUUCCGCAAAUACCAUCUGGGUCAAUCUUGUUCCGCAACUUCAAACUUCCUUCUGAGUACGUGGCAAAGGUAAAUCUCGUAUUGCCUUGACCUUAUCUGGGUCAAUCUCGAUUCCUUUUUCACUAACUAUAAAACCCAACAAUUUUCCUGACCUAGCUCCGAAAGUGCAUUUCAUUGGGUUAAGCUUGAGUUGGAACCUUCUCAGCCUUAAGAAUAACUUUCUCAGGACCUGCACAUGUUCCACUUCCGUCCUGGAUUUCGCAAUCAUAUCGUCAACGUAAACCUCGAUUUCUUUGUGCAUUAUGUCAUGGAACAAUGCUACCAUGGCUCUUUGAUAUGUUGCCCCAGCAUUCUUUAAACCAAACAGCAUCACCUUAUAGCAAAACGUUCCCCACAAGGUGAUGAAUGUGGUAUUUCUCAUAUCUUCAGGAUGCAUCUUUAUCUUAUUGUAUCCAGAGAAGCCGUCCAUAAAGGAAAAUAGAGAGUAUCCUACUGUAUUUUUCACCAGCGUGUCAACAUGAGGCAAUGGGAAAUUAUCUUUUGGGCUGGCCUUGUUCAGGUCCCUGUAAUCCACGCACAUUCUUACUUUCUCAUGUUUUUUAGGGAUUGGGACAAUAUUGGCUACCCAUUCGGAGUACUUGAUCACCUGUAAGAGCCCAGCAUUAAAGUGCUUUUUAACUUCCUUCAUUAUUUUUAGCACAAUAUCUGGCCUCAUCCUUCGGAGUUUCUGCUGUACUGGCUUACAAUCCUCUCUUAUAGGAAGGUGAUGCACUACGAUGUCAGUGCUUAAUCCCGACAUAUCCUGGUAUGACCAUGCUAAUACAUCUUUAAACUCUUGGAGUAACUCAAGGAGGUCUCAUCUCGUCUCUCUGGUAAUGUCAGUUCCAAUAUUCACCUCUUUGCCCUAUUCCAAGCUCACAAUUUCUAUUAACUCCCUGUGAGGUUGGAUUUGUCUCUCUUCCUGUUCUACCAUCCUCAACAAGUCUGGAGAUAAACCACAGUCUAUGUCACAUUCAAAGUCAUGCGAUCCCUCUAAACACAUGUCUCGUUCAAAAGGAAAUUCUAGGUUUGUAGCAAUUUCACUCAUGUCAUUGAUAUCUGGGGACCUACGGUGGGUAUCAAAGAAUAUACAAAGAAUAUAUGAAUUUAUGAAUGAUUAUUUGUACAACAUGAUUAUAAAUGUAAUGAAAGAAUGAUUUGGAAGACAAUCUCAAACAAAUGAAAAAAGAAUACUUGCUUAAAGUGAAUGCAAAAAUGUAUUUUAUUAGAAUAAUAACGUUCAGACAUGAGCCUAUUUCACAAAGGAAUUCCUAUCAUUUUUAGGCUAAAAACAACAAUAAUGUUCUGAACAUUACUCUAAAUAAGCUCUAAAGACUAUAGGGAUUUCUUCCACAAUCUAAUUAUUUAGCUCGCUCCUAGGUUCGUAAGGGCGGAUUUCUAGCAAGGUUAUUCUUUCAGCCGUGUCUACGGCAUUGAUGUGAAAGCCUUCCAACAUUUCUUCAAUACUUUCUCUCAUUGGCGUAUUACGCUCGGGAUGGAUAAUCUCACCUAAGACAAAAAUUUUGGAUAUGUGAGGGAAUAUCAUCGGUUCCCACUUGAUUUCCUCCCUACUUAUGCGUGCCCUUCUUCUUUCUUGCCUCUUCUCAAUCUCCUUCCUUCUUUGUCUUAUAUUUGGCUUAUACCCUAAGCUAAAACGGUCAUACUUGUCCUUCAACAUUGGAACCUCAACUCCUCUUCCAGCCAUCAAUCGUAGACCCAUUCUUGUAACCUUGGACAUUUUUGGCACCGGCAUCCUGCUCCCCUCGGUAAUAAAUAUGGCAUUCACAAACUCCAAAGACCAAAAAGAACAUUCGUUUGCCUCAUCAUUUGUCUCUAAGUACGGCGCAUUCAUGGUUACGACUGCAAUAAUAUCAUCUUCGGCAUUUAUCGUCACCAAUUGACCCUCUGAUAUCAACUUCAGCUUUUGAUAUAGUGACGAAGGUACUGCCCCUGCCGAAUGUAUCCAUGGCCUUCCUAACAAACAAUUGUAGAAAGGUUUGAUGUCCAUCACAAAGAAGUCUACUUCAUAAACAGUUGGACCAAUUAAUAAGGGUAUUUCAAUUCUCCCCAUAACCUUCCUCUCAGUUCCAUCAAAUGCUCUCACUAUAUUUUGGCACGACUUCAUAUGUGAGCUAUCCACUAGCAACUUGUUAAGUGUGGACAAGGGUAAUACAUUUAAUGCUGAUCCAUUGUCAAUCAGAACCCUAGGUAAGGUGUACCUUUGCAUCGGGUAGUAAUGUGCAAAGUUUUAGUAGACCCCAUACUUUCAGGUGGUAUUUCAUCGUCAUUGAAGAAAAUGAAGUUACCGGCACUUAUAUUGCUAACCAACCGAUCUAAUUUGUUGACAGAGAUAUCAUUGGGCACAUAUGUUUCAUUCAACACUUUCAUUAACGCGCUUCGAUGUACUUCCGAACUCAAGAGCAAAGCUAGUACAGAUAUGCGAGCUGGUUGUUUAUGCAACUCUUCUACCACACUGUAUUCACUGUGCUUUAAGAAUUUAAGGAAUUCUUUGGCCUCUUCCUCCCCUACUGGCUCAUUGAUGGGCUCGACUGUCUCUUUUUUCCUUUGUUCUGUCAUUUUCUGUCCGUUUAUAGGUUCUACUUGGGGACUUAUUACGUCGUAGCAUCUCUCACUAUGUGUACGAGAACCUAUACCCUAAUUUUCUUUUAAAGCACCGACUGAAGUCUCCCUUCCCAGGAGGGUUACAUUGCACUUAUAGUUCUACGAGACCUUUUUACAGUCCUUAUAAUAAAAGGUUGUGGGUUUCUGAAUUGUGAUUUUUGGUGCUACUAGUACCCCAGCGUCAUUAUUUUUUGGUCUUGAAAUGAUAAUCGUAGGAUGAUUCACCUUCGAAACCUUCAUUGUAGACUUCGACGCACAUAUACUUCCCUCAUCAUUGAUUUCUUCAUAGAAUUCCACUUCCUUGUCAUCUAUCAUGCCUUGAACUACGACUUUAAACUCCUUGUACUCCGAGAUUUCAUGCCCCUCUUUAUGGUAGAACUCACUGUAAUUUCUCAUUUCUUCACAUCUUUCCCCUAAAUCUGAAACAAUUAACCCUCUUUUGAUCAUCUCCUUCCAAACUCUUCUUAGGUGAGUUUUUAUUUUUGCAACGUUUGCAUUGAUUCUUCUCCCCAUAGCCUCACUUAUCAUGUUUAUUUCAUUAACCGUAUGAUUGGGUAGCGGAUUUUCU